AAUUUUUGCAUUAUUUGGUUCUUGGAAAUUCAUUGUAAACAAGAAAACUUAAGAUCCUUCUCUUAAUUAUAUGCAAUAAAUCUAAUUGUUUUUAAAAGUUGAUGGGGGAUCUGAUAUCUUUUUGAGCGAAUAAGGAAUAAAUAUCUCUUUGUUUGACAUAUUCUUAUACCAUAAAGGUUUGGGUCACCACUCACAAACUUUAUUUAUUUAUUAUUUCCUAUGAUAUUUCUUCCUAACACGUUCCUCACAUGUUCUCUUCAAUUCAUUGUCUUUUAUGAAUUAUCCUUUUCCUUUAAACCUCUGAGUGAGUUAUAGCAAAGUGUUAGUGAUUUGAGCAACAAUAAUAACGAUGAAGAAUAUGAAAUCGACAAAGAAAUGUAAUCUUAGCCCCUGUUUAAGCCACAUUUUUAACUCAUUAAAAUAAAAAAUAUAACCGUUAUCCAUCACUAUCAUUUUUAAAUUUCUAUCUCUAGUGUGGGGCCAUAACGACUCUAUUUAUCAUUCUCAUUUUCAUUAUAAUGUGGCUCAAACACUCUUAAUGUCAAACAGAACUUCAGUGUACAUAUCUGUUAGUACACUUCUGAUGCUUCACCAACUUUUAUAUAAGCUGUGGCAAUUGUUUUCUUGUACGUCCAUUCCCUCUCUAAUAUAAUAUUCUAAUCAUGUUCGCUAGUUAGCUGAUCUUGGAUUUGCCAUCCAGUUUCUUUCGUUUUCGUAUUCGAAAACCCAACUUCUCUAUCAAACUUACUAAUACUGUUCUUGUAUCAUUUCUUCAGUCUGGUUGCUGUAAACCAUCAAACGACUGCAACUUCCAGUAUGUUAGCCCCACCAACUGGACUAGGACCUCUCAAUCGUCGUCAACAAAUUCCGACUGCGCUAAGUGGAGCAAUGACCCUAAUGCUUUGUGCUAUAGCUGCCAAUCAUGCAAGGCUGGGUUGCUGGAUAACAUCAAGAGAGACUGGAAGAGAGUGGCUGUCAUCAACAUCAUAUUCCUAGUCUUUCUCAUAAUCGUCUACUCCGUUGGAUGCUGCGCUUUUAGAAACAAUCGGGAGGACAACGGAUGGAAACGAUAUCCUUGAAUGUGUCCAUAAGAUUCUGGUUUGAGUAGAUAUUAGUAGUAUCAGAACUGAUCUCCUGCGUACAGUGUGCAGGAAAUAUCUCCUGUUAGUAGUACAUCUCUAAUUAUUUCUGGUGUUUGUAGCAUUGUCCUAAAGUUUUAUUAGGUUUAUGGUACACUGUUUUCAUUUCGUUUUUCAGACCUUAUAUAUCUUGAUUUUCUAUGUAUGGCCCCGUUUGGUAACAUUAAUGUAAAAAUGAGAAUAAAAAAUACAGUCAUUAUGGAUUCAACACAAGAGAUAGAAAGUCAAAUAUAGUGACUUGAUGUGAUUGAUAAUAGUCAUAUUCUUUUAUUUUAAUGGACAAAUAAUGAAAAACAAACGAUGACAUUUCCCCUACAAAUUUGUCAUUGUAUGUACAGAGUUUGUGCUAAUUUAGUGACGGUAAACUUUAUUCAAUAUUCCUUAUCAAACAUACGAGUAAGUAGUUAAGCUGCUUAAAAUUUGAAAUAGUUAAAUUUGAAAAUUUAUUAAAAUCACAUGGCCUAGUAGUUCGAUGAGAAAUGAUAUAAAUUUCAUAUGAUUAUUUCAUACUUAAGAGAUUAAAAUAAUAUUAAAAUAAGAAAGUGUCUUUUUACGCUUUUCUUAUACCUAUGCUUCUCCUAAACUUGUAGCUUGACCUCCACUUAUCGCCACACAUUAUGUCUUUUAGAACACCGUUAUCAAUUAUGGUGUAAGAAUUACAAGAAUUGUUUGAAGGCGUGAUUUUGGGUGGAUUAAAAUUAGAUGGGUGAUUUUGCUUAUUUUAACAUUUCCUUUAUACUGGAAUAUUGUAGUAAAUAUAAUAACAGAAAUGUUAAGAUGUAUUAUAUGAAUAUCUUUAUAAAAUGAGGUAUCCCACGUAAUUUCCUCUUGCUUCGAACCCUGACCUGCCCUUUCCCGUCGUCCAUCCCCAUAUUGCUAUUGCCGUCUCCUAACAAUUGGUGCCACCAAGAAAUCACCAUAUGAUGUGAGAGUAAUAUACAAAUAAUUGGAAAAUUUACACAAAUAAGCAAUAAGAGGACUGAAAAAUGAAAAAUACUGACUUUCUCCAAUUAAGGAGAAAUACUUCACUAUCAUCGUUUUAAUUAAAAUUUUGUUCAAAUGUGGGAAACUGUUUUAUUUUUUGGGAAGUUUUCAUUUCACAAAAUCAUUGCAACCAUUUUUGUGAAAGAUAUAGUCAUGCCUCAUCUGACGAGGCUCCAAGCAUAUGUCAAGUGACAGCAACUAGGAAGCCUAAUUAGACUAGCACUCCAUGUUAUCAUCCUAUUUGGCCAAAUCGAGGCCAUAAAAUAUAGGUAGUCGAAGUAAUGCAUCACCUUAGUCGAGAUCUUUUUAAUGAUUGAUUUGAUAUCUCUGCAGCAAAUACCUCUCAGUUAACUUAUUAGCUUACCUUUAGAUGUCAAGCGUAGGUCAUGGGGUGGCUACUUUUCAGAAUCAUUAAAUGCUCGUGAACCUAGGACUGAUGGAAUAACAACUAGGAGAAGACACAGGGGUUGCUAAGAUGAGGCCAUGUUUCUUUUAAUCCAAUGGUAAUCACUCCACCUCUUUUUACUAUAAAAGCUUUCAUUUGAUGUAAUUUGAAGGUGAUACAAUUUACACUCUCAAUCAGGGGUGGAGCCAGAAAAUUAGGUUAGGAUUGGCUAAAACAUAAAAAAGUGUGAAUGAAUUUACACCACAAGAAGUUGAGUUUCGGAGGCUAUUUUUGUGACAUUCACUAUAAAAAGUAUACGACACUUGAUGAAAAAAAAAAAGUUUAGAUGUCUUACAUUAAGAUAUUCAACUAAAUCUUUGUAUUUUUUUACCAAAUAGAAAAUCAACGUUUACUUGAAAAAUAAAGCUAACCGAAUUAUGAUUGAAAUAAACAGAAAUACAUAUCCACCAGUGAAAAUUUUAAAAAAUUACUUAAUGAGUACUCUUUUAAUAAUUUUGACGAUCAGUCUUUACAAACAACUGAAAGUUUUAAUAAAUAUUCUUUUUAUUGUCAAUACAGAUUACUUUAUAAAUAAAUAAGUUUUAACAAUCAUUCUUUUUAUUGUAAAUAUCAAAUCUAUAUUAAGUUAUUUAUUUUGAUUAUCUAUUUUAUGGUCAAAAUAAGUAACUUUUUUUUUUUAUAAAUAUGAAUUAGUAAUAAAUGAAAACAUAUGGAUUACUAAAAAAAAUCAAUUACUUUUAAAUUUAGAAAAAUACUUAGUAUCUCAAACUAUUAAAAUAAGUAAUUUUUCUUUUAGAUCUAAUCAAUACAAAUUAUCUACAAUAAAAUUUACUUAAUAAUUAUAAGUAAAUUUUAGUCAAACAUGCAUUAAAUAAAAUAUCUAGUUUGACAAUAAAAUAUUCAUAUUUCAUGAACGUCAUGAAAAGAGUAAUUAAUAAUUGUAGUGUUUUUAAUACAAUUUGAAUAAUUGACAUUGGAUUUGGGUUGAGAUUUAAACUAGAGUUGGGCUAAUACUAAUAUUUGGGUCAAAAUUCUACAAUUUCAUCUUAGAUAUUUAUAUGGGAGAGCUGGGUUAACGCUAAUUUGGGCCAAAAUUCUUCAAUUUUAUCUUAAAUACUUAUAUGGGCUGGGGGAAGCCUAGCACUGCCCCCCCCCCCAACUACCUCUGCCACUGCUCUCAAUAGUGUUAUUGCUUAACUCUUGUUCUUUCUAUACCUCGGUGCCCUGUACAUUUUUGUAGCUUAUGUCUUCCGUCCAUUUUAUAUCUAAAAGGAUGUUUGGUGGGGAUUAAAAUUAUAUUUUUUAGUAGAUUGAAAUAGAAGUUUUUGAAAUUUGUGGUUGAAAAGUUGUGGGACUCAUGAAAGAUGUAGUUAAUAUUGAUUGUUUAAUUUUGACUUAAAUUAAAAUCAGAUUUUAAUCCGUACCAAACAUGCUCUAAAUAUAUAUCUACAAGUUGAUUGACUUGAUAUUUAUAGUGCUCGCGACCACCUCCCUCACCAUCGAAGAAGGCUACAUUCUUUUAAUGAUUUGUCUAAAUGUGUAGGAGCUGCACGAGUAGGUGUGAGUAUAAUUGGGAUUUGUUGACUACAUCACCAGUCAUGAAUCAAGUUCAACAUAUAUGAUCCAUCAAAAUUGGCUCAAUCUCAAAUUUAAAAUUCAAAAUAUAAAAUGCUAAAAAGAAAUCUCUAAUUAAUGCUUAAGGCCCCUAACUCUUUGGUAUUUCCCCAUUUGCCUGCAUGCUUCUCACCAUGUAAACUAUAGUCCAAUCCUUCUUCCAGUACACCAUUUUGCUGAGGUGUGAUGCUUAUGUCCAUUGCCUUCGAAGUCCAUGUUCAUCACGAAAAUUUGCACGAUUAGAUUAGAGAGUUUAGGUGGUUUUCUCAACUUUAUUCCGUACUUGAACUUUGAAUUUAAUAUUUCUUUUUGCCAUUUGAUAUAGGGUUUACUGGGCUACAUAUAUUAAAAUGGAUUAAAUACAACGACAUCUAAUACCAGUUUGAUAGGUUAGACAAUAUUGCAAAAACGAUAUCUUUGUAUUCUUUUCUCCAUAUUUUAAUGAAUUCUCCUUUCUUUUACCAAUUAUCUUUUGUUCAUGUGCAUUUUGUGAUAUUUACUUUAUAUUGUGACAUAUAUAUUCACCUUGAUAUCACAACAAACUGGUAUUAGAGCGAGGUUCGAUUAAGUCAAGAGGUCAAUUUGAUCUUUUGUGAUGGCAACCAUGAAGUAUGAUAUUUCACUUUUGGAUCGCAACACAAGAUUUUCAUUGUAGCAAGUAAAGAUUUGAGUAGUGCUCGCUAAGAUGGAUUUGGAUGAUGCUUUGAUCGAAUUUGACAAGAUGCUCACAACUUGGAUGUCGUAGGAAAAAAGUAAGGAUUGAACCCUAUCACAGAUUUAUUUUCAUCCUUCGAAUAAUAUUUUUCAAAAUAUUUAGAAGGAGAAAACCACUGUUACAUUAUGGUUGAAAUUGGAGAAAUUAUGUAUGACAAAGGGUCUAACUAGCAAAUUACAUUUGAAGUAGGGUCUUCAUUCUCAUUAUAUGACAGAAGACACAUAACUUGAAGAUCGCCUAGCUAUUUCGAAGAAAAUUAUUGUUGAUUUGGAAACCUUGAAAGUAAAUAUAAUGAAGAGGAUUAGUGUUUGAUUUUGUCGUGUUCUUGCCCACUUCAUAUAUGUCUUUUAAAGACAUGAUCUUAUGCAAUCAUUGUUCCUGUGAUACCUGCAAGCGUACGAGAUCGUUGAUAAGUAAUAGAUUUAGUGAGUUGAGGGUAUCGUCCUAUGAGAAAUAAAAUUUAAUGGAGUGUACUAAUCCCUAAUUAGAUCCAAAGUAAAUAAAAUAAAAGUGUUUUGUAAUUUUUAACUAAUCUAACUUAAUCUACGAAAGCGAGUAAAAUGCAAAUUUAAUAAGGGAAGAGUGUAUUGGAUUACGAAUCCACCUAUUAUUAUCUAUUCCAAUUCUCAACUACAUAGCUAGUUUCAUUCUUGCGUUCUUGACAAUCGAUAAUUCUAUUUUAAUUAAUUUUCUUUUUCAAUACAAAUUAAAUCUAUCAUAUUCACGACCCGAAUAUAUUCCUAGUCCGAAUUUGAAUGAAUAGAGCGCAUUUAAUUUCACAAUUAUCUUAAAGAUUGCACACGCGAUAAAUAAUAUUCCUAAAAUUUAUUGCACAUGUGUUAAUCAUGCAGUGUUCUAAAUCUAUUGUGAGCUUCCCAACACUACAACAAGCAAUGAUAUAUUUAAUUGGUGAUCAAGCAAUCAAAUAAUAAAUUAAGCAUGCAAGAUUAAUUAAGAAUUGCAAAACUUUAACUAAACCACGUGUCUCGAAUUAAAAAUAAAUAAUAAAGGGUUUUAUCUUCAUCUAAUACAUGAGAAAAAUUAACCUAGUAUAAUGUUGGAAUUAAACACAUAAAAAUGGAAGGGCAUCAUCAAGAAUCGACAGAAAUUGAUUAAUUCCGCAAUUGUUGAAGAGGUCAAGAUAUGGAGCAGGCAAAAAUUUACGAUGCAUUCUCACUCACUACCCGCCUAAUUUCCACUUGACCGCUCAAAGCAGGGAACUUGAUGCUCGUUUAGCAUUACCCUGCCACUCGGGCGUAAGUUUUGAUUUGAGCUAUUUUGCUUUUAAGUUUUGAUUUGAGUUUCAUAUCAUUGUAUAUUGCUAAUCCUUCCUUAUUGAUGUAAUUUAUGAUUUGUCCAUAAAUUUAAGGUUGAAUAUGGUCUGAUCGAUCAAGUUUGAUUCGAUUCUUCCGAAUUUUUGAGUAUUUAGUAAGUAGAAUCAUCGAAAUCCAAAUUUAAUUAUAGAGCCAAAAUGGUUUGGUUCCAUUGGAUUCGGUUCGAUUCAAUUUAGUUUCAUUCAGUUUUGAGGUUCCUUACAGUAAUUAAAUUUUUAAUAUUUACAAUAACACUACAUUAAUUCAACUAAUGACAUGUUCAAUCUUAACUCUUAUAAAAUAACGUAGUCUAAUCCUGUGAUAUCUUUUGGGCAUCUAUUUGUUGAGUUUUUCAUAUAUUUGGCUGUUAAUAUCACAAGAAGAGGAAGGUGUUGAGCUUACGAUAAUGAAGAGAUGCUCAGUCAAGCUUUCAAUUUGAUUUCUUUAGAAUGACAGAAAACAACACGAUAGAAUGAGAGAUUUGAGAAAAAUUUAGGUCAAUGUGAUUAAAUUGAACUUGAAUUGAAAAUUAAAAAUAGAAAAACCAUAUUUUUUGUUGGGCUAAAUUAAUUAGUUGGCCAGUUAAAUAGGAAAAAAUAUAUUUUUGGGUUCAAUUAAUUAGUUGAAAAAUUCAUUUACAAAAAAAUUGAAAUAAUUUGGCUUGUCUAAUAUAAAAAAUUUAAACAAAAGGGAGAUUAACUUCUUAUUUGAUUUUUCGAUUCUUGGUCUACACCAAGAAGCAAACCAAAUCCGUUGGUUUUUUUAUUCAGAUGACCGUUUUUGUAUUUAAGUGAAGAAGAAUAGCUCGAUUUGAUUUAGUUUGGUUUGGAUCCGAUUCGGUUCGAGAGUUUUAUCUUCCUACACAAAUUGGUUAAAGCUAUACAAUUCAAAUACAACUUAAGGAAUAAUUUUGAACCUAUAACAUUUUCAAUCGACUUUGAACCUUAAUUUUACUGUAGAUAUAUGAUAUUUCCCUAUAACCUAAUAAAUGAAUUAAUAGCAACCCAAUAAAUGAAUUAAUAGUCACUAAAUAACCCAAUUUGCAUUUCACAAUAUUCCCCUUUAAAUCAAUAACAAUCCAACAAAUAAAAAUAAUAAAUGAUACAUCUAAGGGAAAAUCUUAUAUAAAGACAUAAAGUAUGGUCCAUUUCAAAACUAAGAAAUAAGAUUUAAAAUUCAAAAAUUAGAUAUUAAUUAAAUUUUGUUUAUGAAAUAAUUAAUUAAAAAUAUUUUUUAUUAGUUAAAUAUAUUAAGGUCACAAUUAUAUACUAUUUGGUCACAAAUGAUCAAAUUAAUUGAUCAUAAAUUAUUUCUCGAUCACGAAUAAAAUUUUUGUAUAGGUCACGAAUUAUUUCAAGGUCAUAAAUCAAAAAUUUUACAAGUCACAAUUUAUUAAUUUGUCACAAAUAAACAAUUUAUAAAUCACGAUUUAUUUAUUAGUCGCAAAUCAUUAAUUUUAUAAGUCGCGACUCAAUUAUUUAUGUCGCACAUUAUUUAUUGAUCACAAGUUAUCUUUCACAUAUUACUUAUUAAUCACAAAAUAUCCAACUUAUUGGCCAUAAUUUCAAAUAAUUGGUUACAAAUUAACCAAUGUAUUAGUUGCAAUGACUAAAUAAUUGGUCACAAACCCUCUUUAUACAACCCAACCCACCACCACUAGAUUCAUCAUCUCAUGACCACUGUCACCACCAGCACUCUACUACCACUGUCGUCACCACCACAAUCUCACCAUCAUCACGAUUAGUACACCACCACUAGCUGCCCGUACUAAGAAUCACAAUUGCCAUCUCUAUCUCCACCAUACCACGCCAUACCACACCAUCCCACCACCAAAAAAUCCCCAAACUAGGCAUCAUUGCCAUCGUCACCACCACCACUACCACCACCACCACCACCACUGCAUAUUUCAACAAUCACCACCACGACCACUUCAAUCUCACCAUCUCCUUCACCUCUACCACACCACAACCAUUGGCACCAACUCAAAGAUACAGACUAAAAUAGAGAAAACAAAUCGACUCCUUGCAAAAGAUGAAUCAGAAAAUAGAUCCACGAGAAAAUUGAAUGGUGGUUUUGAUCUUGUUGUGAUGAAUACAUUAGUACAUGAUGAAAAUAGAGGCCUCAAUCUAUUGCACACAAUUGUCGUGAUGGUAGUUCUAUCGUUGCGAGGCGCCAUUGCAUCAGGUCAUGUACAACAGUGUACCGAACAUUAUACAGGGAUGUCAAUGAGUUGAGCCAAAACUCGAAACUCAGGUUCGACUCGAAUAAAAAUGGUUUGAACAUUUUUGGCUCUAGCCGAGCCGAUCUUUUACUCCACAAAAAAGUCUAGGCACGACCCAAGCUUUCGGCACAACCCUUAAUGAGCCGAGCUGAGCUAGCUCACUUUUUUUAAUUCAUGAUAAGUCUAAUAAGAAUUUAAAGUUUGUGCAAUUUAUAUGAAUUAUAAAUUAAAUAAAAUUUUCAAUUUAGUACUUUCUAUAAUAGCUGGCUGUCUUGUUAUCUUCUUAAUUUUCAUUGUUUUUUAAUUCUAUUUUUGUUAUAAGCCGAAAAUGACUCGUGACAUGGGCUGAUCUGUGCUGCUUAACGAGCUACAUUGGUUGGCUUGAACUUGAGUUGAUGCUUCAAAAUGGGGCUCGACCCAAGCCUCGGCUCAGUCCUUCUGAGCCACGAGCCAGACCAGCUCGAACUUUUUCCGAAUCAAGCCAUGGGCUGCCUGAGCCUGCAAGCCAUAUUUACUUCCGUAGCACCGCCUAAACUAGGAGCGACCGAUGGAGCCGGAGCAGCCUUUCUUCUACCUAUUGUCACCAGAGCGUUGGGGGGAGAAGAAGAGAGAGAUGUGGGCCAUGUGAUUAGUGAUUUUGGAUUUUUUAGGGUAUGGGUGGUUAUAAUUUAGAGAAAAAAUAGAGGAAAGAGAAAUUGAAUAUUUUUAACAUUAAAGAUUUGAAUUUAUAUCUGAUUUUUGUAUAAACAAACUCUAGAUAUAUUUUUGAAGUUGGAUCUUUAAAUAUUUGGUUGGAUGUGAUUUUCACUACCUCUAAGCUAUUUCUGAUGCUGACUUGGGCCGCUUGGGAAUUAGUGGGCUUGGUGGUUGAUUGAAGGUGGCCGAAUAGUAAUCUGUUUGCGAAACGGAGCAGAGUAAAAAGGUGACGGGAGAAGAAGAAAGAGAACAUGGGGAAGAAUAGAAAAAGGGAAAUACAAGAAAAAGAAAAAGGAAAAGAAAAGAAAAUAAAAGAGAAGAAAAGAAAAGAAAAGAAAAGAAAAGAAAAGAAAAGAAAAGAAAAAGAAAAAGAAAAAAAUGUAAUUUUUUUUUGAAAGAAUUAAAAUUUAAAAAAAAUUCCGCUCAUACUUGAUAGCCUACAAAUAUGUCAAAUAUUUUUAUUUUCAAAAGAUAUAUUUUGUACGUUAAAUUUUUUUUCUAGAAAAAAUACUAAAUUCUCUGGACACAAGUUCUUUUACUAUUGAAAAUUUUGAAGUAAAUUAUAGCCCUACAAAAUAUCUUUUUUGUGGGAAAAAGUAAUAUCCACAUACAAAUCUCAAAUUGUCUUUCAAAAUUUUGUAGGGAAAGUAUAAAUUUCUUGUAGUGUGAUUCGUACACACCCAAUGAUGCAUUAGCGACAAAAAAUUUUUAUCUUGUACAACUAAUCCAGUUGAUAAAUAAAUUGGAAAUGGAUAAAUUAUUUGCAAUUUUUAAAAAUAGUCAAUAUUUUCUAUUAAUAAAUUUAUUUUUAUCAUCGAGAAAUCAAUCAUAGAUUCUUUUAUUGUAUUCAUGUCUGGCAAAUGGUCUACACUCUAUACCAAUUCCAUAACAUAUCAUAUCAUAUUUCAGCGUUGUGCAUUAUUGUUCGUACUCCUAAAAAUCUCUCAUUGGACAAAUUUUGGGACCAGUUGCAAGUAACUUUAAUGGAAAUUUAAAAACGUGAAAAUAAGCAUUUGUAUUUAAUCUAAAAACCAAAAUAAUUUAAACACAAAGAGAAAGUGUGCAUGUGUUUUAAUUUUACAUAGCCCUCUCAACAUCUUAUCAAUGCUCCUGUCCACAAUAUUUACCAAUUAUGUAUUGCGAGACAGAAAUUAUUAGAGUGGUAGAUUAUAUCUGCUAAAAUAAUAUGUCUUAAUCCAAAACUGAAACUGAUUGAUGCAAUUCACAUAUUUCCAGGAAACCGACAAAUAUUUUUUAUUCUCUCUUAAUUUUGAUUCUUUGCAUCCCCUAUUUUUUCUUUUAUUCAAUGGAUUGUACAAAAUCUUUUAAAUUGUUUUCAUACACGUUUCGAAACUGGAAAAUUUUUUAGAAAUUCAUAAGAAGAGGUGGUUAGCUUUGGAUGCGUGACACGUGAUCUCAUCUUAAUGACUCAUGAGUAUCUCAUAAGUGUACAUUUAGCGGUCCCCACUUUUGACUCAUGAGUAUCAAAUAGCCUUAAUUUUUGACUUCUUCUCUCACAUGUGGACCCCACUUUUCUUCUAACGGUCAAAAAAUCAAUUCUCAAAAUCCCUACCAAACGGGCCCUUGAUAAGGGGUGCGAGACCUUGGAGAGCCAACAAAAUCGUCCGACUAUUUGAUAGGGUUAUGUAAUUCAAAAUGCCGAGGUUUACAAGCCAAAUUCCAAGUAUAUGUGGGGAUGCCGAAGGCCAAAACAACUUGGAGGAAAUGCAAUUCAAGAAGCUGGGAAUAUGGUCUAUCGUAAAGCCAUGCGAUUGCAAGGCUUUAUGCCUCAUGAGGUUGCCCAAGAGGAAGAAGAAAACUGAUCGGUGGCAAAUGUUGAUCCAUGCGGCCACAUGGUGUAUUUCGAGACCAAGAGUUUUAAUUUUCUCUCGAGAAUCCCAUUUUGGUUCAAAUACAUAUUUUUGGUAACUUUCAUAAUUCUAGGACUCCUUUUUUUUUUUUUAAGCAAAUACCACUAGUGUGGUUUAUUUUAUAUAAUGAAAAGCGGGAAAACAAAUAGAGGAGGGGGGCAUGGACCUGACCUCCAGCAAAUGUAAAUUGUAACAAAUAUUUGAAGAUAAAAUGCAAUGACAGUAAACAAGACACGAACAAAAACUAAUGAAAGGUAGUCAAGGGUAUUCCCGAGGGUAAAUCUUCGGGUGGUAGUACAUGGACAUUGAUCGAGUCAUGCGUCUGGUUUGAAACAUUUCCGGAUCAUAGUAGUCUGCGAUGUUUGGCUCGCUCGUCGGAGAGGGGUCUCGCCUGCGUGUAGGAGCCUGCUUUGGUGAUAAGUACUGUUCAGAUGGUGGUGCACUGAAUGUCGGGCGAAAAGCGGGUGCAUCUGAUCUCAUUGUACUAGUCGUAGGUGCAUCUGCACGAUCGAAGUAUGUUAGGCAGAAAUAUUUUAGAUUUAGGAUGUCUGAAAUGGAAGGAUCAAAUUCAGACAGUAAGGGUAAUCAAAUCAACAUGUCUGACAAUGUGAUGCAGAGGUUUGAGAGGCUAUUAGUGGAUAUGUGAGAUAUGAUGGAUCGAUAGGAGGCUUGGACGGAAAUGCUAGACACUACAGUUACUAAUCUUCAUAGGGGGCAUGUGUAGAAGUACCUAGUGUAAAAAGAUAGGGUAGACAAGAACGUAGGAUAAAGAUGCGUGAUGAGUAUGUAUAAGGUAGUAAUAUAGAUGAGGAGACAUUAAUGGAGGUUGAAAUGGGGAGAAUGAGGAAUAGAAGUGAUAGGAUUGAAAGACGGGUAGAAAUAAUAACGGAGACGAAGUGAAUGGAGGCAUGGGCAAUGUAAAAAUGUCAAUCCCAAGUGAUCCAGAAGUUUACUUAGAGUGGGAGAAGAAGGUGGAAUUGAUCUUCGAUUGCCACAAUUAUUUGGAAGAGAAGAAAGUAAAGAUAAUAGUCCUUGAGUUCACUGAUUAUGCAAUAACUUUGUGGGAUCAAGUGGCGACAUCGAGGCAGAGGAAUCGGGAGAGACCUAUCAAUACUUGGGAUGAGUGGAAAGCUAUUAUGCGGAAGAGGUUCAUGCCUAGUCACUAUUAUAGAGAACUUCAUCAAAAGUUACAAAGUUUGUACCAGAGGUCGUGGACUGUAGAGGACUACCACAAGGAGAUGAAAAUAUUAAUGAUUAGGGAGAAUGUGGAGGAAGAUUGAGAAGCCACUAUUGCUCUAUUUCUGAAUGGGUUGGAUAGGGAUAUUGCUAAUGUAGCAUGGUUGCAGUAUUAUGUGGAGUUUGCUUCAUUGUUUUUCAUUGAACAAUCUGAACUUAUCAAGAAAUCUCUUUUCUUGUGGCGUUCACAAAUCUGAGUGGGAUUCACUAAUUGUGUGAUCAAGAGGUUGGCAAACUCUUGUUUGUUGGUUACUUGGUUCAUAAGUUUUGGGUUAAAUUCAAAACCUUACUUAUUGGCAUUUUUGGGAUUUAGUCACAAUCUCGUUGUGGGUUUCAUAGCUGCCGUUGCUUUGUAGGUUCACAUCACACAUGAUGUUUAGAUAUAAUGGGUCAUAUUCCUCAUGAAUUGCAAUAAUUUCAAAAUGAUUUAAGGAUAUUGCUGUCAAGAAUUGUUUCACAGAUUUUCAUGAUAUAGCUGUUCCUCCAUGUGUAAAUAUAUAUCUUGUUUGUGAUUUAGCAUUAUGUGAGUCAGAGAGAUAACCUGCAUUUGUAUAUCUCACUGAAGCAAAUCCUGACUUUUGAGAAUAUAAUAAUCUCAAAUCAUGAUUUUAUGCACUGUAGGUAAAGAAAAAUAUGUUUAACACUCUUCCAAUAUCUUUGAAUGGUGUAGAGCUAUAUCUUACAAAAAGAUUUAUAAAACAGUUAUGUCCGAUUUAGCACAGUUUGCAAAAUAAGUUAGUGCUCCAAUUGCACAAAGAUAUAGUACUUCAGGACCAAGAACUUUUUCUCUAUAUUCAAGUGAAAGAAAUGAAUGACUUUUCACAUCAAAUGAUUAAAUAACCAUAGGUGAUGUCAAUUGAUGUACAUUAUCUAUAUAAAAAUGUUUUUAAAACUUUUCUAUAUAUGUAGAUUGAUGAACAAAUAAUCCUACUGGGAAGUGUUCAAUCUUCAAUCUAAGACAAAAUUUGGUUUUCCCAAAUCUUUCAUUUCAAAGUCAUUUUUCAAAUAAUUACCAGUUUUGUUGAGUUCUUCGAGAGUUUCAAUUAAAUUUGAAUUAUCAACAUAAAUUGUCAUAAUUGUAAAUUCAACAUUUGUUCUCUUUAUGAAAACACAUAGGCGUGCAUCGUACUUUUUAUAGCAUUCUUUCAACAAAUAUUAGUUAAGGAGAUUAUACCAUGUGUUCAUUUAUUUGAAUAAUCAUUACUUCGAUCGAUGUAUUUCAAUACAUUUAUUUUGAUUUGCUAUAUGAUGCAGUACAUCAUGUGCAAAAUUAUUGUCGAUAAUUUUUUCUUUUCAUUUCUAUUUCUUUUCACAUAAUGACAUAACUUAUUGAGAUAUCUCAAGUUUCAAUACUUCAGGUAUUUGCACCUCAUCGAAGGUUUUAUAAUCUGUUAUGUCUAAAUACUCAUCAAGACUAUGUAUCUCCUUAAUGAGACCAUAUUUGUUAAGUGAGACCAUAUUUGUUAAGUGCUUCGUUUUACUUUGAAGAAUUUUGUAUUAGAAUCAAACACCAUCGCACUUUAGACAUGUCAUAGAUAUAUCUAAUAUAAUGCUAACAAAUGGUUCUCAUAGGAUAUCAAUUCGCGUUGGAGCAUUUAAAAUUGGUGCAUGAGAUAUUGUUUAUCUCUUUGAUCAGUAAAUGCAUCUGAAUAAAUUAUUUUUUGAACUUUUGAUUCAAAUGAUAUUUUGCGAUGGAUUUAGAUAAUGAUGCAUCUAUACAUUAUUUUCACGCAGAGGCUUUGUUGUGGUGCUUGCCAUGUUGCUUUGUGCGAAGCAACGACAGUGGUGCGAGGGACGAUGAAGAGAUGGAGAACGGUAGAAAUGGUUUUAGAUUUGGGAAGAAAAAGAGUAGGUAUGGAAAGAUAUAGAGAGAUAAAGGAGGGGAAAUUUAAUUAGGGUUUGAGAUGAAAAUUGUAUGUUUAAUAUUUAAAUAUGAAAUAUCUAAUUUAUGAAUAAUGAAACCUCCACCUUGUUUUUAGAAUAAUGAUCUUCAAAAAUAGGGUGGGAUGUAAUUUCCAUUUUUUUGAUCUAGCCUAUAAAUUAUAAAAAAUGAAAAAUUAUAUAAAAAAUCAGUUCCAUUCGGGUACAUACGAUUCUAAUUCAAAAACCAAUAACCAACCGGAUCAAGUUGGUUUCAAUUUCAAUUCUUAAUUUCUUUAUUGGAAUCGGAUGGAAUCUUUGGUUCUGAUUCAGGAGGUUCGGUUUCAAUUAAAGUGUCCCAACCUAAUUAGGACAAUAGCAAAAAGAUCCACCUAGCCCAAAACCCAUUCAUCUUUUUUCCUCUACCAUAAGCCAUUGCCAUUGACCAUCUCCUCCACCAUCAUCGAUGACUCCACCUUAACUGUCAUUAGCGCACCACCAUUCUAUGGCAACGAAAACACCUUCUUUAUCGUCUUUUACCGUGGAUUGUUAGAAAAAUAACAUUUUUUACUAUAUCCAUGGCAAUGGGUAAUUUGAUGAGAAUUCUUUGCAAACAUGAAAGAAUAACUUCGACACUCGGAGCUCUCGAAUUAGUUUUGGUCCAUAAGUAUGCAGGUGCUCGUUCGUAGCUCUAUCUAAAUGAACCGAGUGAGAGUAUAAUAGGUGUACCAAUGUAGAGCCUCAUUUACAAAAAGGGUUGGAAGUAAUGCUUUUCAGAUAACAAGGAUUCAGAUUGUGAUGGCAUACUAAACUUCUACCUAGCCUCAAAUGCUUGACUACAGCCAAUAUAUGUUGUCGGAUCAAGACGAAGAGCUAAGAUUUUACUCGAAAACUGGUCGAAAUGUACCUUCAAUAACAUUAGGUCUUUGUCUUUAUAGAUGUACCUUUCCUUAAAUAUGGAUUGUCAUUUAAUAUUUGGAUAAAGCUACAUCUUAUAAGGUGGAAUUGAGGACAAUGAUGACAAGUUAUAUCGAAUGGACUCGAUGAUGUGUUUCAUCAAUGAAGAAUUAUACAUAAAUUAGGAGUAGAAGGGGACAAAAAUUAAUUAGGAAUUUAAAGAGUCAUCAAAGAGGAUGAUGACGAGAAUGAGACGUUUGAUGGAGAUGAGAAUAGGGUGGUGCAUUGAAUGCGUUUCUCAACAAUGAAGCGGCCUUCAAAUACACCACCAGGAUGAAUGAUAUUGGAGGAGGGAUCAACGUAAAUAUAGAUAUGGUAAAGUCCUUGGUAGUGUAGAUGCCUUCUCAAACAGCAAAGAUGUUGUUUCUUUCAACUCUGUCAAUAGCGAUAUUUUACAGACGAAUAGUUGUCUUGACGCAGGAUGGAAAUGCAAAUCCUAACUAAAAUAAAAGAGGCACCUGUUGUGGCACUAUUUCUGUGGAGUUAUGCCCAAUUACUCUUUGCCAUUUUUUCAUUUUUUUUAAACGUUAUAUUACUUUAUUAACUUUCACACGCGACCAUCAUUUUCAUUUCUCUUUUAUCUCUCAAUCUUUUCUAUUUUUUCACAAAACUAUCCACGCAAUUUACUCUACUUCUCCACACAACUAAUACUUCUCAUUUUCUUCUCUGUUUAUUAAUCAAAAAUUUAUUUGUCCAUUUUCAUUGAAUUUACAGGACAAAACGAUAUCGCUUUCCUGCGUUGAAUGACAAAACGACAUCAUUUUAUUCCAUAAAUAUGAUAAAAUGUUUGAAUAUAUUUUAUAUAUAAUUAUAAAAAAUAUUAAUAAUUUAAUUAAUAAUAAUUAAAUCUUGAUCAAUGUAUGUUAUAUUCACUCAUUAUCUCAAUAUUUGAGAUGAAAUUAUUUUCCAAAAAAUGGAAAAAAUCAAGAUAUUGACUAAAAUCGAGAAUCCUAAUUUUAAAGAUUAUCCUUCUCAACUACAUCUAGAUGAUAUUCCAUCUUCCAAAAAUUCAAAUGUUAAAACAUUGAACAAGAGAUAUUGGAAUAAAGUAUAAUCUCAUAAAAUUAUACGAAUUGAGUUGUAACUAUCAUUUUACACCAAUAUACUAAUAAAAAAAAAAAACUAAAAGAUCUAACAAAUUAAAGAACAAAAAUAAAAGAGCUGCAGGCAAAAAUAAAAAAAAAUAAAAAAAAAAUUAUUAUAAAGUUUUUUAAUUAAAUUGAAAUAAUGAAAAUAAAAAAAUAUUAUUUAAUUAAAAUUGAAAAAAUUAUGUUUUAUCAUAAAAUGAAAAGAUUUAAAAAGAAUUUUAAAUCGAAAAAAGUAUUCAUAUUAUGAAGAAAAAGAAAUUUUAAAACAAUUUAAAAUAAUAAUAAUAAUAAUAAUAAUAAUAAUAAUAAUAAAAAAUUAAACAAAAGAAAGUUACGAAAAUUAAAUAAAUAAUAAUUAUUUAAAAUUCAAAAAAGUAAGUUUUAUCAUAAAGAGAAAAGAAUUAAAAAAAGUUAUUUAUAAUAGCAACAAAACAAAUUAAAAAAAAUGAGAAUAUAAUGUGAUGGAGAGGAAUAACAGAGAAUAACUCCAUGUUAUGGAGUGUGAUGAAGAGUUUCUCUCCGUGUAAUAGAGGGAAACUCUCCAUUUUUUUAUUUUUUUAAUUAGUUUUGUUCAUAUAAUAAAUAAAUUUUAUUUUUUGAUUUAAAAUUAUUUUUAAUUCUUUUUUCUUUAUGAUAAAAAUUACUUUUUUUUAAAUUUAAAUUAAAUAUUAUUUAUAUAUUCAUUAUUUAAUUUUCAUAACUUUGUUUUGUUUAAUUUAUUAUUAUUUUUUUAAAAAAAUUUUAAAACUUUUUCCUUCAUAUUAUAAGUAAUUUUUUGAUAAUAAUAAUGAAUUGAACAAAAGAAAGUUACGAAAAUUAAAUAAAUAAUAAUUAUUUAUAAUUCAAAAAAGUAAGUUUUAUCAUAAAGGGAAAAGAAUUAAAAAAAAGUUUUAAAUCGAAAAAAAAAUAUUUAUAAUAGCAACAAAACAAAUUUAAAAAAAUGAUAAUAUAAUGUGAUGCAGAGAAAUAACAGGGAAUAACUCCGUGUUAUGGAGUGUGACGAAGAGUUUCUCUCCGUGUAAUGGAGGGAAACUCUCCAUUUUUUUAAUUAGUUUUGUUCAUAUAAUGAAUAAAUUUUAUUUUUUGAUUUAAAAUUCUUUUUAAUUCUUUUUUCUUUAUGAUAAAAAUUACUUUUUUAAAUUUAAAUUAAAUAUUAUUUAUAUAUUCAUUAUUUAAUUUUAGUAAAUUUCUUUUAUUUAAUUUAUUAUUAUUUUUUUAAAAAAAUUAAUAAAAAUUUCUUUCAUAUUAUAAAUAAUUUUUUGUUCGAUUUAAAAUUUUUUUUAAUUCUUUUCAUUUUAUGAUAUAAAUAAUUCUUUUUUAGUUCAAACUUUAUCAAUGUCUAUAUGAAACUCUAUUUACCUUGUCCGAUGUACUUCUACUGAAGUUUUUAUCUAUAAAAUUUUACAUUUACCGAUAAAAAAGUAUUGAUAUCUUCAAAUGUAAAACUCAUCAAAUAACAACAAAGACAAAACUUGACUAAUUAUCGUCAUAUAUUUUCUACGCUAUUAUAUACUCAAUUACAGCAUUUUCACGUCCAUAACACGUGCAACUAUCAUUUUACACCAAUAUACUAAUAAAAAACUAAAUAAUUUAACAAAUUAAAGGGAAAAAAGAAUAUAUAAAUAUUAUUUAAUUAAAAUUAAAAAAAUUAAAUUUUAUCAUAAAGAAAAAAUAAUUAAAAAAAUUUAAAUAAAAAAAUAUUUAUAUGAUGAACAAAACAAAUUACAAAAAAAAAAAAUGGAGAGUUUCUCUCCAGAAACAUGGAGAGAAUCUCUUAGUGUUAUGGAGAAAUUCUCUUGAUGUCCAUAGCAUGGAGAGAUUUCUUGGAGAGGUUUCCCUCCUCACGUUAUUUUUUAUUUGUUUUGUUCAUAUUAUAAAUAAUUUUUUUAAUUCUUUUCUAUUUAUAAUAAAACUUAUUUUUUUCAAUUUCAAUUAAAUAUUAUUUAUAUAUUCUUUAUUUAAUUUUCAUAACUUUCUUUUGUUUAAUUUAUUUUUUUUUUUGAAAAUUAUUUUAAAAUUUCUUUUUUCUUCAUAUUAUAAAUAAUUUUUUGUUCGAUUUAAAUUUUUUUAAUUCUUUUUGUUUUAUGAUAUAAAUAAUUCUUUUUUAGUUCAAACUUUAUUAAUGUCUAUAUAAACCUCUAUUUACCUUGUCUAGUAUACUUCUACUGAAGUUUUUAUUUAUAAAAUUUUACAUUUACCGAUAAAAAGUAUUGAUAUCCCUAACUCUAAAACCCAUCAAGUAACAAAAAAGACAAAGCUCGACUAAUUAUCAUUAUAUAUUUUCUACGCUCUUAUAUACUCUAUUAUAGCAUUUCACGUGCGUCUUACUAGUAAUAAUAAAAGGGUCUUGUUCGUAAUACACGAUCGGGUGAUUGUUUGAAUUUCGUUCGAACGGACGUAAUAAUUAUUUGGAAUCCACCAAUUAAUUAAAAAAAUAAAAUAUUUUAUCAAUCAAGAAUCGAAUAUAUAAUUUACAAACUCUUAAACAAAUAUUUAAGGACUCAAAACAAAUUCUAAUUCAAAUGAGAUUCUAAUUGUACAAAUAAAUUUAAUUAAACUAGGAAACUAAAAAAGAUCCAAUUAAAACUAAAAAACUGUAAAGAUGAAAAUAUCCUUAAGCUGUCUAAAAAAAGUAAAAAUGUUCAAAUGAGCCUGCCCCUAAAUGAUGACAUUUGACCAUGAAAGUCUGAGAAUGUCAACUGCAAAAAUUAUGUAGAAUUGAAAAAUGCUUUCGGAUUGAACUCUAGACGAAAAAUUCGAUAUCAAAGCUGAAAAUUAUGCUUGUUUUCGUACAUCCUCCUAAUUUAUUCUCUUUUUAUUUAAUAAUUUUCUUUCAGAUUGUCCCUCAUUAUAUCUCCUUACUAGCUAUUCAUAGUGGAGAGAAGAAUAUGUUAUUAUCAAGUGAAUUGCUCAAAUGGUCACUGAAUUUUGUAAAAUAUUUUCAGUGGGUCACCGAACUUUAAAAAUUACUUAAAUGGUUACUAAACUUUGCAAAAGGUUUCUACGGGGUCACUGAAUUUUAAAAAUAACUUAAAUGGUCACUGAAUCUUACAAAAUAUUUCGACGAGGUCAUUGAACUUUGUAAAAUAUUUCCACGAAAUCACUGAAUUCAGUGACUCCUGAGAAACCUUUUACAAAGUUCAAUGACUAUUUAAGUCACGUAGAAACCUUUUGCAAAAUUCAAUGACUAUUUAAGUGAUUUUUAAAGUUCAAUGACUCCUUGAAAAAUUUUUACAAAGUUCAGUGACAAUUUGGACAAUUCACUCGUUAUUAUCGUAUUCGUGAAGUUAUAUGUGAUUUUUUCUUUUUGGUUUAUCUAAAAGUUAAGGGUGAAGUUGCCUUUUACCUAACCUUAUCAGUCAAAUUGGACAGGAUUUGUCAACAUGGAUGUUAUUUGCAAUUAAGCAUUCGUUUGGUAACAAUUUUUCACCCAAAAAAAAUCAAUUUUGACCGUUAUUUCUCUAUUUCAGACGUCAUUUUUAACUUCUUUAGUACAAGUGGGACCCUUUUUUUCUUCCUAACGAUAAAAAAAUCAAUUAUCAAAAUCACUACGGAACAAGCCCUAAGUAAAAGGUUCGGAAUGUCUAAUUCUAAAAAAUGGUUGAUGGUAGAUUAGCAACAGCUUGUAAAGCUCGGGGAUGAAAGUUUAUCAAAAUACAAUGGGCUUCCUCAUUGGUCACCGCACGAACCGGGCAGUAAUUACCAUCAAUUGACACUUCUUACUUUUCUGGUUAAAUUCCCAAAAGUUACCCCCUAAAAGAAUCGAACUUUUCGUGAUUCGAAGGGUCCUCUCUUAUCGAUUUACAUCUUCAAUGGCCGAGGUAAAAAUCCCUACAAAAUUUUUUAUAUUUUCAUUAAUGUCCAUUGUUAUUUUUCAUUGUCCGCUGCGUAUAGGCUUUUCAUUUCAAAUCUCUGGGUACACUGUGUGACAUGAUCUGUAAAUAUUUCAAAGCAUACUGUUCUGUAUCAUUAUUUCUCUCCUUUUAGUGGAUUAAUGAUUUUUUUUUUUUUUAGAUGGCUAAAUUUCUACUGAUCCUUUAAUGUUUUAUUUAUUGCUGGAUGUUGGACAUACAUUUGUUUAGUUUCACAUAUUUUUGCCUCAAACUUCACUGGUCACUGGUUUGUUUCAAGAAUUCAUACCCUUCUUUUUCAUCUCGCUCUUGUUCAAUUGUGAUUUAGGAUUGAGUGGUAUUAGAUGUUAAAUCAUAGAACAUUAAUUUUGGAAUUGUUUGGGCUCCAUCUCAUUAAGGAUUUUUUUCCCCGUUUCAACUUCAUUACCAGUUCGAACUUAAAACUGCGCCAGCAGAUUUUCGAUUCCCAACAACCAACCAAACUCGACACUGUUUCACACGCUACAUUGAGUUUCACAGGUAAUUUAUUUAUUUAUUUAUAUAUUUAUUUAUAUAGACUUAAUACCACAUUCAUUUGUUGCUGCCGAGAAUGCAAUACUUUGAAUGGAUUUAGAUUUUGACGGUGUUAAACUGAUUAAUCGGCUUAGCUGCUCGUUGUGACAAAAAAAUGACAUAAAAUUGAACAAAGACUGACAUUGGAUAAAUGACGAGGAAAUCUUAUUUUUUCUUAUCUUUUUGGUAUAUUUGAGUUCUAUAUUGUAUCCUACCAGGGCUAGCACAUAAAUGUCCCUGUCCGUUCUGUAGAUUAUGAUUCGGCUUAUGUAUAUGUAUAAGCGUACACACACUGUGAGAGAGUGUGUGUGUGUGUGAGAGAGAGAGAGAGAGAGAGAGAGAGAGAGAGAAUGAACUAAAAUUGAUAAUUAUGGAUUUCGGAUGGGAUUGUAAGAGCAUCCCAACUUUGCAAGGAAAUUUCCAUAUUUUUUUGGUGCUUCAUCUGAUUAUCCACAAUUGGUGCCAAAAGAAGAAGGUUUUAGAAUGGUCGCCGGGUAAUUUAUUUCCGUCGCCAUAUGGGAAAUGUGUAGAAGGUGCAACCACCGACAUUGCACCCUAUAUAUACGAGAGAGUGCAUGUAGUCAUGGUGAAUGAGUGAAGUAAGAGAGAGAUGAAAGGGCUGAGUGCAUUAGUUGUGCUUUGAUCAAAAUUCAAGUGAGGUAUAGUUGUGUAUAUAUAACACUCAAUAAAGUUGUAUAAGUCUAUGAUGCUGGGACUUUGCAUUUUGGUCGGCAUACAUUUGUUGACACGACAUGGGUAUGGGUAUGAAAUAUGGGUGGAUUUUUCAAUUUUCAAGCGGGUAUGGCAAUUGUAAUUAUGUAAUUUCUAAUUUUUAUUUUAAUUUUGUGCUCGUUUUGUAGAUUUAUGCUGUUUUUGGUGUUUUAGACUUUCAGUAUAAAUUUCUAGUUGAUUUUAAUUAACAUGUUUUUAUCUUUUAACAAUUCGCCACUUAAUUAUUAUUUAAUUUUUUACACGUGAAUUACCUGGGACAUUCAAAAUUGAAGUGUGAAAGACCUACCGACGUACCCGUAUCCGAAAUUUGAAUUCUUUUUAGCCAUAUCCCCGUAUCCUAUAUUUUAGAAAAUAAAAGAUCCAACACUUAAAUACGUGCUCAUACCCGAGCCAAGAGCAUCACAGGUAUAUGUGUCCAAUUUUCUUGUAAUAGACAGAAUUUUUGGAUUAAAUUCAACAGGGAUUACAUGCUGUUGAUCGUUUUGGCACUGGAGGGUUUAACAUGGAGUAGUAGAUUUUACAUAACUGAUAUUUCAUUACAAAAUAUCUUAAAAUUUUACCAACGUAAUUAAAUAUUAUUUUAUUUCUUACGAGUUAGGCAAAGUCUCAAUUUCUAUAAAAUUUAAACUAGUUAUCAAAUUGAACUUAGCAAAUUAUUUUUUUAAUUAGUUGUUUUUGUCAUGUAGUUUGAUUUCGGUUCAGUUUUUGAUUCUUAUCCUUUAUCUCUUUUGAGUCAAUGCCUAAAUUGAUUUUAAAAAAAAAUUGUUUCUUUUUGCUUUUGGUGCUGCUUGUGUUAAUUCUUAAACAAUAACUAUCUAUAGAGUUAUCAGAUUAACAAAUAAAAGUUGGUAUUUGAAAAAAAAUAAAAGAAAGAAAAUCAAUCAGCUGAAUUUUGGAGAUACUUUUUUUUCCUUUUGAAAUUUGUUAACAUUUUCUCUUUUGUUUGCCUCCUCAAUCCACAUAAUCACACCAAUGUUUUUUUUAAUCUGAUUUUCUCUCUCAAUAUAUGCCCUUAUAUUGUUGAUUCAAAUAUGAGAAAAUUUCUUUAAACUCCUCAUCUCCACCCUACUAGAAUGGGCAAAUCUCUAUUAGUUGACUCCGCUCCUGCUUAAUUCAUUUCUUGGCUCUACUUCUGAUUUCAGUAUAUGUUAUAUUUAUAGCCCCGUCUGGGCAUAAUUUUAUAAAUUGAUUUAUAAAUUCAAUCAAAGUCAAACAUUAAUUUUAAUAACACAUUCAUAACUACUUACUCAUUUAUUAUCCAUACAUUUUGUGAGAUACAUUACUAUUCAUUUUUACAAAAUUUGAUUUAUAAAUUUGACAAAUGAAGGCUUAGUUGGGUAUCAAUCUUAUUUUUACACGUUGGAUGCAAACACACAUUCAUGAAUGGGCAUACAAUGGAUAGAGCAAACACAACCAUUUUGUAAGCUUGAAACGCGAUUUAUGGUUUUUACAAUGUUACAAGUCCAAUUUUUUAUUUUGUAUUCUAUUCUAUUUUAUGUUUUAUUUAUUUUUUGAUUUAGACAAAGAGCACCUCCAAAAGACUUUAUAUUUUUAGAAAAACAUCUAAUGUAUAAUAGAGAGCGUCUAUAAGUUAAAACCUUUUAUACACUUCAACAAUGGUCUCUAUUUUGGCUCUUAGUUUUUUUCCAAGAAACAUUUAUUGAUUUCUUCUCUCAUAUCUUAUUAAACAUAUACUGUUAUAUGUCCAAUGCAAAUGUGAUUUGAGCAAUUUGAGGAGUGGAGUAUUGAAAUUUAUAACUCAUUAAAUCCAAUCAAAAUAAAGUAAGAAUAGUGAGUAUUUAUAAAGCCAAACACACUCUCCACUUUAAAAAGUUAACAUAGAGGCUGUUGGAGCUAUUUAAGCACUAACUCUAGAGAGCAUAAUGUAUUUAGAGAGUAUCUUGGAGAUGCUCUAAGAAGUUAAGGGUAAGUGUAUUUUGUUGGAACCGUUAGUGUUCCUUAUUUUUAGGUGAACACAAAUGAUUUAUCUUGUAUUUAAAUUCCAAGCGGGUAAUAAUAAUAUAUGGAUGAAUUAUUUCUGCAAACCUAUUGUUUGUAAUUGGGAGGCCUAUUGGUUCCUGGAGUAUCAUUAUCUGGAGGUCUAGGUUUCCUCAAAUUAACCCACUUUUCAUCUUUUCUCAUACUAUUUUUGAUUAUUUCUAUCUGAGCAAUUCGUGUUUGUAUUAUAUGUCAACUGAACGGCUUUUUGGCCAGAAGAAGUUAUUCAUGUUAGAUUAUUAUUCUUGUCAAUGUGUAGCAUGUUAAUGUUAAGCUUUUAGUUGUCAUCUAUAUUUUUUUUUUUUUUUUUUUUUUUUUUUUUGGUGUUGGGUNNNNNNNNNNNNNNNNNNNNNNNNNNNNNNNNNNNNNNNNNNNNNNNNNNNNNNNNNNNNNNNNNNNNNNNNNNNNNNNNNNNNNNNNNNNNNNNNNNNNNNNNNNNNNNNNNNNNNNNNNNNNNNNNNNNNNNNNNNNNNNNNNNNNNNNNNNNNNNNNNNNNNNNNNNNNNNNNNNNNNNNNNNNNNNNNNNNNNNNNNNNNNNNNNNNNNNNNNNNNNNNNNNNNNNNNNNNNNNNNNNNNNNNNNNNNNNNNNNNNNNNNNNNNNNNNNNNNNNNNNNNNNNNNNNNNNNNNNNNNNNNNNNNNNNNNNNNNNNNNNNNNNNNNNNNNNNNNNNUUUUUUUUUUUUUUUUUUUUUUUUUUGGGUGUCGCUGUGGCAGCAGCAUGCUAUUCCAUGAGCUUAGUUGAUAGGAUGAGUUUAGGGCUAUUUCGUUUGGCGUUUGUGCUCUGGACAUGAUAGGGUGCCCAAAAGUUUGAUACAGGCUGCAACUCUUGAUAGACGAAUGUACCUGCAAGGCUUCAAAAACAUAAAAAGAAGCUGAAGUUUAGCUGUACGUGAUUCUAAAAGAAAUGUGUAUAAUUUUUCUUUUACCUGGAACUAAUUAACUGUGUGUUUACUGUCAGGUGUGUUACUGCUAAGGGAGAAGAAUCCGGUGAUUGUGGGAAGUUUGCCAGGUACUAUCGUUCCCUUUGCCCUGGCGAAUGGGUGAGUUAAUAUGCUACUGGGUCGAUUUCCUUAGACAAUCAUGGUCUUUAAUUGGUGCAAUAUGAUUUUAAAAUUUUGGUUUUUUGGUGCUAUGAUAAAUAAACACAAGUAUUAUCCCAUAUGCACACACAAACAUAAAUAACCCAUGUUUCGCACUUCGUAGUUGGUCCUACUUAUAACUGCAUACAUUUGUGUUUGACUAUGCAGAUCUCCUUUAUAAGAAAUUCAGAAUUGCGUGUGUAUGAACAAGUGAGAUCAUUUUUAAGAUAUCAAGUGAUGAAGAAAAAAUUAUUUUAUUUUUGACGUAAUAUAUUUUUCUUGAAGCCCAUUUAGCUCAAUGCUUAGUUCAAAAUAUGGACCUUUUCUCUAUAUGAUGAUGAAAGACGAGUUAUUUCCUUUUUCAAUCUCUCGAUCUCCACCCCCCCCCCCCCCACCCCCCCAACUUUUUGUUACAUCAAAGAAAAUGUUUACUGCCAAGGAUCCUACUUUGUUUUAAGUUUUGAGAUGGACUUCGUGCAAAACUCUUGAAGCCUAAAACUAAACGCAUUGCAGGGCCAUGAGAAUCUCAUGCGUUAAUAUCUUGGGGAGAAGUACUUAUUAAUUGUCAGAUACAGAAUUUGGUUAUAUUCAUGUCAAUGGCCGAACUUAAGGCAUCAAUUAGGUUCACAUCAAGUUCAAUGGUGACCUGUAAGGGUAUCAAAUGCGUUCUAUUUUUCAUACACACAAUCUUCAUCAUUUUUUAUUUAAUACCUGGUCAAAUAUUAGCGCUUAAUUGGUCUGUGAGAGUAAUACAGCAAUAAAUGAAUAUUUGGUAAUAAACUUAUUGUUACACACACUGAAGCCUCCCCUAUUUGUUAUUACAGUAUAUUUCCUUUAUAUGCCAUUGUUUGGUGGGAAUUAAAAUCAGAUUUUUGGUAGAAAUUGAUGAAAUGUGUGGUUCUUUGAAAAGUAGUGGGUCUCAUAAAUUGUUAACUCUGACUUGGAUUAAAAUCUUGAUUUAAAUUUUCACCAAACAGGGGCAUAUGUAUUUUCUGUAUUACUAACCCUUUUUUUUUUUAAUAAAUAAAAAGUAACUUUUUUUUGCACCAUAUCAGUAUGUGUUAUGAUAAGAUAAGGCACCGAUCGGUGUUUAUUAGGUGGUGGAUGAUUAACGAGAUCUCAUUCUACUGAAGCCAUUUCCAGUGCUCCCAAGAAGAUUUUACCCUUCAGCCUUUCUUCAAAGCUUUUAGAAUGAGUAAAUACCUAGACUCACUAAAGGGAAGAAUUAAUGGUAACUGCUGUGGAGAUAGAGCUAGACAUUGAAUUUAUACCUGGCAAAGUCGUGAACGAAAGUGCCUUUCGUAUGCAUUAAUGCAAGGGCAUGUGGACAUGGAUAUGGGAGUUUGAUGAAACGAUUUGGUUUUGCGAGAAAGUAAAGGAAAACUUAGGCUAUACUCAAUGUCAAUUAUUUUCUUUGUACGUAUAGGUUGAAAAAUCCCAUUUUCUUCUAUUGACUCCAAAGCCCCGUGUUCCCGCAAACAUCUAUGUUCAUCUUGGUAGGUGGUUAUAGUGAGAAAGAACGAAUAAACCUCCUUCAUGUUCAAUUACAUUUUAUAGAUAAAAAGCUAGAUGAUAAUAAUAACAAUCUUGCCAAUUGUAAUAUAAAUCAUUUUUUCCUUCGACUACAUAUCUUGUAAAGCCAAACCAUUUUGUCACACUCCCAUAUCCAUGGCAACUUGCACUUGGUUCUCUAAAUUUGUAGGGCACCCAUGGCUAAAUUGUGUGAUGUAAUUUGAUGGAUUUUGAUUCUUAUCUUUAUCAUUAUAAUAGUAAUGUUCACAUUUUUCUGUUCUGUUGCUAUUUGAUGUUCUGUGAACUUGUAAAAUCAAGUGAUUGAAUCCAUUCCCUAUGGGCUAUGCUUUAGCAUGGUUAUGAUACUCCAGUAGUUUGCAGAUGACUUGUCCUGAUAUGAAUUUAAAACCAUGACAUGCUUUCAGUUAACAACUGAGUGGUCUACCAGUCGAUCUUGUUGUUUAUCCUUUGGCUGACUAAUGUAAACGUUCGUUUGGUGCUACAAUAGCACAAACAAUUUUCUGCUAUUACUUCUUUGCAGUCUGCAGCUUUUGUAUCUGUUUAUUUCUUUUUCUUUCUAUUUUCCCCGUUUAGUUGAAAAUUAAUUGUUGAUUUUCAUUGACCUUUUUGGUUAUUGCAGGUUGAGAAGUGGAACGAGCAGAGGGAGAAUGGAACAUUCCCAGGGCCUCUAUAAUACAAAACCAUGUCAAGAUUGGUUGUGCAUUUUACCUUUUGGUUUGAAACUGUUAUUAUAAGUUAUUAAUUGAUUAAUAAGGCAUUAUUGCGAACAUGUUAUCGUUUAACUCUAAUGCUUCAUCGUUGCAUAUAAACAUGUUGGCCAAGACGAACUUUUGAGGAGUUUCGUCUGUUAACCCGUACCAUUUUUUGCUCGCUAUUAAAAGCAUUUGUGUUGAUUUUAAAUUUCUUGGCACUUUGGAUAUUAUUCUCUUGUGCUGUUGAAAAAAGAAUUAGGGUCCGUUUAAUUACAAAGACGGAAUUGAAUUGAAUUGAAAACAAAUUCCAGGGAAUUGAAUUACUUAGAAAUUGUUUUCCUGGGAAUUGUAAAUUAUUGUGUUUGAUUAAUAUAAUUUUUCACGUGGAAAGUGUUGAAAUAAAAUUGUUUUUUAGUAUUCUUUUGGCUUUGUUUUACAUAAAAAUUUUCGAUUAAAGGAAUAUAAUUUACUAGUAUAAGGGAUGGAAUUUGUUUCAAUUGUCAAGCAAAAAUAAAAAAAAAAAAUCAAGAAAAUCAUUUAUCUUUUGGUAUUUGUUUCACUUUGUUUUACAUGGAAAUUGUUAGUUAAAGAGAAAUAUUUUUUAAAAAUAAUUCUUAGAAUUUAUUUUCAUUGUCAAUGCAACAAAAAAUAAAUAAAAAAUGAAAAAAGAAUGCUACAGUAACCCGAAAAACGAAUUCUUACGAGAAUUUGAAUUCCAAAAAAAGCUAGAAAAUGCUGAUGUGGUGACCAAAGGUGAAAAAAACGAAUUCCUUGAAAAUUUUUGUCAAUUAAACAAGUCAAAAGUGGAAGUUAGAAUUUAUUUUUCAUUUUCCUUAGAAAAUAAGUGGCUAUCAAACAUAGCCUUAUUAUUUCUUGAUGACAAAGAAUGAAAACACCACUCAAUGCGGAGAAGCUAAAAUGUAAGUAAACCAAGUUUUAGUAAGAAGCAUAGGAAUACAAUGUGAUUAAUUGGUUUUAUUUUUUAUGGAAAAUAUUAUUUUUUUCCAUCGAAGUUCUUACUUUAGGAGUGUUUGAUUGGUAUUUUUUUAUGGAAAAUAUUUUUCAAAAGUUGGACAUGUAAUCAUGUUUUCUUCAAAAAGAAGGAAAAUAUAUUCUUUCGGGUGUAGGAUUUUUAUUUUUAAGGUAAUUUGCACUUUUUUAAAAUUCAACUUUAUGGAAAAGUUUGACAUUUCUAAAUUAAAAAUUAAGUUAAUCAAAAAUAUUUAAUCGACAAUUUUCUUACAAAUAAGUUUUAGACAAUUUAAUUGUGUAUUACUUAUUUUCUUUACAUAUGUUUCGCGCGGGUUAGUCGCUAACAAUUAAAAGGGAUCAGACGAUUGUGUAAGAGACAAACCUCUUGAAACAAAGUCCCAAAAAGGGGUGUUCUUUUAUUGGCGAUGAUUUUACAAUUGAAAAUCAAAAACAAAAUGCCUCCAAGGGGCGCAAGCACACGAGUUACUGAAAAAAGUGUUUAAGUUUAAGUUAAGGAAAUUAAAAUUACAUGUUCUCUGUUCGAGAGUUUUUGAUUCGGUCCUUUACUCUAUGUCUUUUCUCUCUUUUAUACUCCAUGGAUGAUCUUUUUUGUGAUCAACCGCCUAAAAACUGCUUGAUCGUUCUACAACUGCCCACUUUCCUCGUAAUGGCCAGCUUGUCAUGAAAACUGCCUUUUUUAACUGUUGUCAUUACUCUUCGUAGUUCAACCGUAUUCGAUUGAAUUGCUUGAAUCGUGGAACGUGAUAGGGCCACUUUAAUAACUGCUUUGAUAACUGCACUUCUUGAUAACCACAACGCUUUAUAUUUGUUAAGACCUUGGGCGACUUGAAGGUUUGGGCGAGAAUAGAGUAACGGCUCUGGACGAUUGCAUGGCACUCCAUUCGCUCAGAUUCUGGGCGACUUGCAAACUUGGGCGAUGGCGUUACCGCGUUCUUGGGCCUCCCUAUUUGGGCCUUCAUAUUGAAUUGUUUGAUUGAGUUUUGUUCAUUGGGCUAUCUGAUUUGGGGAUCCUCCAAUUGGGCUUCAUUCUUUGGGCCGUUCGAUUUGAGCUGAAUUUUUAUGUGUCAACAAUUACCCCCCAAUAUGGCAAAAUUAAUAAUAAUUAUUAAAUUUUGCUAUAUUCACUUUGUGUUUCCAGCGACAUUCGAGAUUUCCAAGAAUUUCAAUCAUUGUUUUCUUCCAUAACUUGAAAAGGUGCAUCGUUUUGCAAACUCUUAUAACCCCCAAACACGCCAUUUCACUGCACCAUUAAAUCACGCCUCAAUUUUUCGCGUCUCUCCCACGAUUUACUGUUCAUCUUUUGCUUCUCUGCUACGUAACUCUGAAAAACUUCGUUCCAUCUCAAAUGGCUACUUCACAAUCUCAAGCUGGCGACUCCUUUAGUUUUGAUGACUUUCAGAAACUUCUGAGUCGUCCAUACAUAACUCAGAGUUUUCUCGCGCCCGCCGAUGUCGAAUGCAAUGAGUUCUACUUAGGUCCUUUCUUCAACAAUGCAGAGGCAGUUGAACAAGCGGCGGUGGGUCAGCUGUUUCCUUGUACUCAAGGCCUUCCAUUUCUAAACUCUCUGUCGCUGGGGCCACUUCGCGAAAGAGGUAUUCGCACUUGGCCUAAAUCUGAUGUAGCUUUCUAUAGGUGGCAUGCUCGUCUUGUGGGCCAUGGUCCUACUAAGCCACUUUUUGAUAAUGCUAGGAUUUCUGAUUUGUUAGAAAUCUCUAUUCGUCCCCCUACUUUUGAUUCAACACUUUUUUCGAUUGCUUUGAGUUUUUGGUCUUCCGAGUAUAAUACCUUUAUUUUCCCUCUUGGCCCCAUGUCUAUUACUUUAAGGGAUGUUGGGGCCCUAGUGAAUCUACCACCUUUGGGCGAUACCAUUUUUCCUGGUAUCUUGGUUUCUGGUGGCGCCCCAAAGUUUGGUAAACUGAAUCUUAUUCAAGCUUGCAAACCCUUUACAAUCAUUCGAGCGCUGAGCCUUCCCAUACUGAGCGGGUGGCCUUUCUUCUAGUUUGUCUUUGUAAAUAUGUUUUGUGUGUGCCAAGCAUAAAGCCCUCCCUAAGUUAUUUACCCAUAGCGCACGAAUUGGCACGUGGCAGGCUUUUGAAUUUAUAUUCUUUCUUUUUGGCUACCCUUUAUAGAGGCAUGGCCUCUCUUCAAACUUAAUUGAAGAAUGGUGUAUCUCCCACUGGCAGUGGACCUCUUUGGUUCACUCAACUGUGGUUGAGAUCCUAUUUUCCAUUGUUUGGUGCUCCAUCAAUUUCUCGUUCCUCUGCUAGCUGCAAUGGGCUAGCCAUUGAGCCCUUGGCUCUUGUAAAUAUGUCCAGAAGGGACUUUUUUCAUUCUUUUAUUCUUUGGAUUCAAUCUCUUCCUUUUUUCCUUUUCCUCCUUUUUUGACUCCAAAUUAUGUACAUCCCCCUCCACUAUAGAUAGCGCGAGCACCUCCCCGCCCAUUUGGAUCCAGUUUUUAACCGGAAGGGAGCUAUUUCAUGAUAUUUUAACUGGGACCAAUGCUAAGGCAGGGGUAGAAAUUUAUGCUCCCCAAUUUUUUGCUCGCCAGCUUGGUUUUGGCCAAACUUGGCCUGUUCCUCCUUGCUAUUCAAGGAAUUUAAUUGACCGUUUUCGUAUUAUUAAUAAGGCGGAGGCAGAGGCUAUAAAUGCUCGCAAUCUUCUCUUAACAAGCUAUUUUUCAUUAGCUCCCUUCAAUUCUAGCCACGCCAUCCAUUCUCUUUUUAAACAGCUCUGGACGUAAGUGAAGAGCAGAUUGUUUGCGACUGAUGUCAAUCGUGCCUUUCAUCCACUGGACCAGCCAAGCAUUUCUUCCCCUCCUCCUGUUUUAGUCACUCCUUUGUCCAUCCGGAGUCCUUCUCUUUCUCGUCGCGCUAAACAGUCUGCUCGUCCAUCUUCUUCUCUCCCUGCCAAGCCUACUACAACCAAGAGUGCCCCAAGCCGCAAACGGCCAGCCUCAGCAUCUCCCAUUCUGGAGGAUGAUGUUGAUGAUGAUGAUGAUGAUGAUACUCCUCUUAUCGUCAGGAGGAAGGUAAUUAAAUUGGUUUACUCACAAGCAUAUUUUUCCAUAUUUGAAACUUUUCUAUGUGUUGAUGACUUAUUUGGAUUCCUCAGAAAUUUUCAGCUUCUCCUUUAAAAGCUUUGGCAUCGGCAUCUUCUGCUCCAUCAUCCUUUGCUGAGGCUGCUUCAUCCAAACCGGUUGAUGAGGGGACUACACUUAGAGAGACAUUUUCCGUCCUAAAAUCCUCAUCACAACCCAUGGAUGAGCCACCUUCUUCCCAGGGCGUCAACCCCCCAAACAUCGAAGCAGAAGGUAAUUCAGUUUUUUGAUGCCUUACCUUUGCUUGUGCUAUUGGUUUCUGAUUUGUUGCUCUUGAGUUCUGCAGAUACUCCUAUGAGUCUGUCUGUUGUGGCAACAUCUUCUCGCUCAGACAAGGGGAAGUCCUCACGAAUGGAGGAGUUAUUAGUGGCAGGCUUGGCUGAGGACAUGCCAUCUUCCACGAUUGUUGAUAAGGUAAUCUUUGCUUCAAUUUUAUUUCCAUUUUGUUCGUUGUAGUGAGAAUCUUCAAUAUUGGCAAUUUUCUUUGCAGGAUGCUGACAAGAUUGUGCGUUCUAUCCAAGACUUGUUCGCUUCCUGGGGGCAAGUCAAGACAUCUCGCCCUACUCCAUCUGAUCGUCCUGCUGCUUCUUCAGAGGAAGAUUUGAAGUUCCUCAAGCAGUCGAUAUUUGAGUACAUGUCCUUCAUGGAUAUGGACAUUGGUAGGGCUAGUGCUGCCAGACAUAAUGAUAAACUUGAGCAUUUGAAUGCGAAGUUGGAGCAAGCACUGACGCUUCCGUCGCUCAAUCUUUCUGUCGAUUUUAAAGCGACGUUGAAGGUUAUCCACUCUGAGGUCCUUUCCUUGCUAGCCAAGAAUGCUGAACUAAAGGCCAAAAGUACUCAAUAUCUUCGCGCCGUAUCAGAAAAAGAGUCUCUGCGUCUGGAGAUCAACAAGGCUGAGGAUGAGUUGAAAGAGAUCUCUUCCGAAGUCAUGAUUGAAGACUCUUUGAUGGUUAGUUUGGCUGCUCAGAUGAAGGAACUUCAAGCCAAAAUGGACGACUGCAAGGCGAGAAUAGCUGCUAAAAAGCUCAACGCCUCCCAGGGGAUUGAGCGAACUAAGCAAUUGGUUGAGCAAUACAAGAAGUUGGAAGUUGAUGAUGAUGUCGUGGCCGAAUUGAACAUCACUUCCUCUCGAUAGAACAAGGAUUGGGAAAAAUUUAGGGAACGAAUUCGUUCAGUGUGGGGUGGACUGUAAUUAAGACAUACGAUGCCUUUUUCUUUUGUAAUUUGAUUUUCCCUUUGUAACUUUGUUCAUCAUUAAUGAACAUAUAUGUUAACUUCUUGUGUAUUUAUUUGACGUUUGUUUUUUAAUCGUCAAUUCUUCAAGCAUUUAACUGCUUUGUGCUAAAAAAAUCUUGCCCAUUUUCUUUUGAUAUUUCCACCACUUUUCUCAAGACUUUGGGCUAUUUAAUUUCAUUUACUAGGUAGAAUGUGGCUGCUCAUAUUCUGUCUCUUCAUCUCCACCCCCCUAUAAAUGCACAUAUGCUUCGCAUUUUUCAUUUUCCAUCUUCGUCUUCAUGUUCUUCUUCGAAACCAAUUUGCUGCCAUUGUUUGGCACUCUAACAAUCAAUCCGAUCCGAAACCUUCGUCUUUCUAUAAAAAUGGAUUGUUUAGUCCGCCCAUUUUACUAUUUGCCUUGAUGUCACCUUUGGUGUGGGAGGUAUAUGAAAUAUUUUUUGGCCAGUAGCAAAGUUUUUACAAUCGAAGUUCUUCCCAUCGUCUCUUUGUCCUUUACAAGGAGUCGAUGAUAGAAGACAAUUUUUGGGAUGCUUGCAGGCCACCUUGCUUGCUGAGAGUGCUUCUCAACCUCUUUACCCGCCAUUGCAGUGAUGCAUUUAGGAAGGUGGUGAGGCCAGUCCACCCUCUUACUCGGCGAUCCCACCAUUGCAGCGAUGCAUUUAGGAAGGCGGUUUGAAGCUAGUCCACCCUCUUACUCAGCGAUCAACCGAGAGAUUAGCCUACUUUUGAUUGUAGUUUGUAGAGCAUCCAUUAUUUGUAUUUUUGUAUCUUUGUAAUGAACGUUUGAUAAUAAAGGACUUUAUUUGAACGUAUUUCGCUCUGACCUUGUUAUCCUUAAUCGUUCAACAUAUUUUGAUUAUACUUUUAUCUGUUCACAUUCCCAUAAAGAAGGAACAUAUUUUUUCAAAUAUUUGCCGUUAAUGAAUCUCACGUGCUUGGUGCCAUCUAAAUCUUCCAAGUGAUACGCCCUACUGGGUAACACACUGUUUAUUUUGUAUGGUCCUUCCCAAUUGGGCGACCAUUUUCCGUAUUUUGGAUCCUUGCUAUCCAAAGGGAGUAUCGUCUUCCAAACUAGUUCACCCAGGCUGAACGACUUGGCUAUGACUUUUUUAUUGUAAAACUUAGCCAUUCUUUGUUUUUGAACUUGCAAUCUAUCUAAGACGUCCAACUUUAAUUCGUCUAACCCCAAUAAAUUUUGAACUAGUGAUUCGGCAUACUUAUCAUCAUUCAACUUAUGUUGCAAGCACACUCUAAUUGAUUGUACGUUGAUUUCCAUAGGCAAAACGGUCUCCUGCCCAUAAACAAGUUGGAAAGGAGUAACUUUGGUACUUGACCGAGGUGAUGUUCUAUAAGCCCAUAAGGCCUUGUUCAGACAUUCGUGCCAAUUUCUGGCAUUUCAUCUAUCAUCUCUCUGAUGAUAUUUUUUAGAAUCUUAUUAGAAGAUUCCGCUUGUCCGUUGGAUUGAGCGUAGUAUGGUGUGGAGUUUACUAAUUUAACCCCAAACUCGCUCAAAAAUUUGUUCACUUGAUCCCCAUUCAAAGAUGUUUCGUGAUCUACCAUUAACGUUUGUGGAAUUUCAAACCUAUAAAUGAUGUGAUCAAUGAUAAACUCUAUAACAUUUUUCUGGGUGAUCUCUUUAAAAGGUACCGCUUCUACCCAUUUGGUGAAAUAGUCGGUUGCAACCAUAACAAAAGUAUGUUGCUUGGACGAUGGGGGAUAAAUCUUCCCUAUCAGGUCUAUCGCCCAACCCUUGAACGGCCAAGGUUUAAUAAUAGGUGCUAUCUCUCAUGCUGGCGCCAUUUGUUUUGGACCAUACUUUUGGCAUGCUAAACAACUCUUUACAUACUAAACGCAUAAUUCUCCCAUCUUUGGCAAAAAAUAUCCACUCCUAAUAAUUAACCAUCUCAUCCUUUAGCCAGCUUGAUGAGCUCCACAUAUUCCUUUGUGCACCUCAGCCAUGAUCGUCUUGGCUUCUUGCAAACUUACACACUUUAGUAAUACACCAUCAGAGCGUUUCUUAAACAACUCUUCAUCUAAUAGUGUAUAGUUCAGCAAACACAGCUUCAUUCUCCUACUAAUCCCUCCAUUAGGCUCCUUAAGGAACCUUUUAAUAUCUGUUCUCCAAUCUAUUGCAUCUUCAUCUUGUAUGCAGUGAAGUUCAAUCUUUCUCACCCUUCUUUGAGUCAUGGGCAAUAUGAUUUCAUACUCACAAGUAGACUUCCAAUUCAAAACCUUUAAGUAUCCUGAGGCCAUUUGGGUUAACUCAUUUGCUACGUCAUUAUAUAUCCUAUUAACGCAUUGAAAUUCUACUUGGUCGAAUUUUUCCAACAACUCUUGGGCGAUCUCAUAUUGACUUAUAAUGGAAUCACUUUGGCAUUUAAAAUCACCAAUCAAUUGGUGGAUUACCAAUUGAGAAUCGCCUCUAACGAUCACAUUUCUUACUCCCAUAUCUAUCAUUAGUUCUAGACCUACAAUUAAGGCUUCAUAUUCGGCCUGAUUGUUGGUGCACAUUCUGUCUAAAGUGAAUGCGAACUUAUAGCAAAUCCCUAAAAGAUUAAUCAAUGCUACUCCUACUCCUGCACUUUUAGAGAUUUUUAACCCAUCGAAAUAUAACACUCAAGGUUUUAACUCGAACGAAUUGAUUUCUAGUUCAAUUGCUUCAGGCAUGUCAAGGCAUGGAUGAUCGGUUGGAAAAUUAGCCAAAGCCUGAUUUUUGACUGCCUUUUGAGGUAUAUAUUGUAUCUCGAAUUCUGAUAAAGCAAGUGUCCAAAGGCCUACCCUUUGGUGUAAAAUAGGGCGCGGAACAUAUACUUAACUAAAUUUACUUUAGAAAUUAAAUAAACGGUUACGGGCCGUAAAUAAGCCCUUAAUUUUGUACAUGUGAAAUACAAUGUCAGACAUAAUUUUUCGAUAGCAGAGUAAUUACAUUUACAUUUCGUUAACCGUCUACUUAAGUAGUAAAUUGCCCUUUCUUCACCAAAUUGGUCUUCCUGUGCGACCAUUCCAGCUAUUGAUUCUUUUUCAGCCGAUACAUACACUUUCAUUGGCCGUCCUUGGAUUGGUGACACCAACACUGGUGGAUUUGAUAAAUAUGUCUUCAGGCAUUCAAAAGCCUUUUGAUCUUCUUCUUUCCAGACGAAUUCGUCCUGAUUUUUCAGCUUUAAAAGUGGCGAAAAAACUUUAGUUCGCCCUGCACAGUUAGAAAUAAGCGUCUUAAAAAAUUUACUUGGCCUAGAAACCUUUGCAAUUCUUUUUUGUUGCUAGGUGGUUUGGCCUCUAAAAUGGCCUUCGCUUUAUUUUUAUCAAGUUCAAUCCCUCUCUUGUGUACUAAAAAACCAAGAAAAUUCCCUGCAUUAACACCAAAUGCACACUUCAAGGGAUUCAACUUUAACUUAUAUUGCUUCAUUCGCUCAAACGAACAUCUUAACUGUUCGAAAUGGUCCUCUUUUUUAAUAGACUUGACUACUAUGUCAUCUACAUACACUUUAACAAACUUGCCUAUCAUAUCAUGAAAGAUUAAAUUCAUUGCCCUUUGAUAAGUUGCCCCUGCAUUUUUUAGGCCGAAAGGCAUAACCACCCAUUCAAAACAUCCUAGAGACCCAGGGCAUCUAAAGACAGUUUUGUGUAUAUCUUCUUCAGCUAUAUAGAUUUGAUUGUAUCCUGAAUACCCAUCCAUGAAAGAAUACAUGACAUGUCCGGCAGUCGAGUCUACUAAAGAAUCCACCGUGGGCAUUGGAUACUCAUCUUUGGGUGUAGCUAUGUUUAAAUUCCUAAAGUCUAUACACACCCUUAGUUUACCAUUCUUUUUUAGUACUGGCACGAUAUUGGACAACCAUUCGACAUAUCUAGCUGUUCUAAUAAAACCUGCUUUCAGUAAUCGCUCUAUCUCUUUCUUGAUUUCAGGGAGUACAUUGGGAGCAAAACGUCUAGAAAGCUGCCAAUGAGGUUUAAAGUUAGGCUUAGUUGGUAACCUAUGUUCCACCAAGUCUCUAUCUAAACCAGACAUUUGUUCAUAUUCCCAAGCAAAACAAUCUUUGUACUUUUUUAGCAAAGCGAUUAAUUUAUUACUAAUCUCAUGAUCGAGCAUCUGGCUGAUGAAUGUUGGACGAUCUUCUCCUUCAUUGCCAAUAUUUACUUUGAUCAGAGGGUCUUGUGCUUGAGCGUAUCCAAGUUUGACGAUCCGCAUCACUUCGUUGUCCAGUUCCCUUGUAAGUACUUCCUCUUCUAAACAGUCCACCUUGUUGACUUCUCGGCCAAUGCUUUGUUCUAACUCGAAUACUGCCAAUUUGUCCUUCAGCACUUUUAGGGCUGUCUCUUCUUUCGCCUUGUCAUUGCAUUCCUUAUUGAAAGCCAUUAAUCUGACUUUGAAGGCCUGAAUGUCGGCCAUUUGCUUUUGUAACUUAGAAUCCAUUCAAGACUCCUUGAUUAUUCUUUUGCUAAUUACUAGCUCUUCUAGGGCCACUAUAUUUGGCCUCAUCUGUUUGAACAUUUCAGUGAGUGCGUCCACUGAGAAUGGUUCUUCGCUUUGCGCGAUAAUUUGAGUUUCUUCCCCAUCUUGUACUAUCCUGACAGGUCCAUAGUUUCCUUCGUACAUGAACUUUUCCACCGAGUUUGCUUCUGCGACAAAAGGCCUAUGAUCGGCCUGUACCACCUCUACUUCGCCUUUGUUAUUCCAAAAGAUCAGGCAUUGAUGGAGCGACGAGGGUAUACAGCGACUUUCGUGUAUCCAAUCUCUUCCUAGUAGCACAUUGUAACUAGUAGGACCAUCUAUUACAAAGAAGACAGUGGUCCUAGUAGUCGUCCCUAUAGUUAUGUCCAAUGACAUAACUCCCUUAGUUGAAGUUGCUCCUUCAUUGAAGCUCGUGAGGAUGACUUCUGUAGGAAUCAUGUCACCCUCUGUCUUUGCGAACUUCCUCAUCAUCCUAGAUGGAAUGAUGUUUAUAGCUGCUCCAUGGUCAACAAGCACUUUUGCUACUAGGACGCCGUUAACUAGAGCUCUAACGUAUAAUGGCCUCAAGUGUUUAGUCAUUUUCAUGGCUAGCCGUUUAAAAAUAACCUUUUCGGCAACCCCUAUUUCUACUUCCUGCUUGUUUUCUGUCGAAUUAUCCCCCUGUGAUAAGUCGACGUGCAGUAUAUCGCACUGAUCCUCUGUCUCCUGAACUUCCUUCUUACUUUUUUCUAAUGCUUCCUCAUCAGUUACCCAGCCUGUGGGAGGGGACAUUAUUCUUGGAGGUGACCCAUACUUUUCAGAGCGAGAGACUCUCUUCUUCCUUUUGGGUGUCCCAUAUAGUACGUAGAAAUCGAAAGGACGUCCAGAUGGUUCUCCCAACAAGUCUAUUUCGCAAACUCCCUUUCGAUGUAGUUGCUUCAACAGAGUAUUGCGCGAUACUCCUCUCUUUCUUCCUUCCGCUUCUAGGUCGAUUUCUUCUUCAAUGUCUGUCAUCCCGUCGUCCUCUUCAUCAUUGCAGGCCUCUCUAGAAGUCUGGCCUUUUUCACAUUCCAGCACACAAACUUCUCCUUCAUUGUUCUCCCUCUCUUUUUCUUUUUCUUUAUUCUUGAAUUCAUUGACUAAUAAGUAAUUAUUGGCCACAACAGGAGGCAACGUACCGAAUUGGAUAGUAAGGGGCUGAUCUGGAUCUUCUCCAUCCCUUCUGUCUCGCUCAAACUUUGAUCUCCCAGAAGAAGUUUCUAGCAGUUCCUUCAUUGAUUCAUCUGUACCGGUCUCUUCACUAUCUUUGAGGACAUUUUGAUUGGCUACUUUGAGUAGUUUAGACGCUUUAGGAUGUGGCACUCCCUGUUGCUGCCUCAUAAUCCGUCCAUAAUUUCGUUGGAAACGCCUUUGUUGGGUUCUAGUAAUCUCAUCGAAGAGUAUUGCCCUUCCUGCAUUAUACUGGAAUGAAUGCCAUACAUUUGGCCAGCGAGGUUGCAGCCUGAAUGUUCUUCCAUUAUCUGCUGGCCUGAACUGCCUCUCAAAAGGGUGUCCUCUAUAGAAUGAUGUACAUCGCCCUCUACCAGGCUGAGUGUUUAGGAAGAAGGUAGGGCGAUGAGGAUGCUGCCAUAUCCCUGGUUUCUCCGUGUUGCCAUGCAUUUCUCUUUUACAUCUUGCAUACAGGACGUCUUCGUUCUUUUUUGACUCUUUCCCAUUUAUUCGUUCAAAGACACUGGGUUGUGGUCUAGGAUCCCCUUCUCCAUCAUCUACGACCAACUUGAAUUUUGGCAACUUGUUUUUGAAUCCAGAUGUCACCAUGUUCACUCCAAGUGGCUGUGGAAAAGGAUUUUCAUCCACUGCCAUCUUCUUCUUAUCGUCGAACGUAAUUCGUCCUGAUUCAAUGGCAUCCUGCAAUACAUGAUGAAAAACCAAGCAAUUGUUAGUCAAAUGUGACCAUGCAUUAUGCCACUUACAAUAUUUUUUACCCUUAAUUUGUUCAGGGUUUGGCAAUUUGUGCUUAUCGCUCAACUUUAUCUGCUUAUCCCUAUAUAAUUUAUCAAUUAUAAGGUCAGCCUUGGUUACAUCGAACGAGAACGUUCUAGCCUUUAUGAUUCCAUCUUUUAUGGGCUCAUCUUUGUCCGAUGGUCUAGGCUUGGCCAUUAUGGGACAAGUAUACGUAUCUCCUUUGACCGAUUCGGCCAAACACAUUUCGGCCUGGUCGUAUGACUCGUCACUGAUGGUAUGAACAUAAAAAUUUGGGUCUUUGUAAUAAGUCCCUUUACUAGAAUUUUUCAUCUGUUCUUCCUCUCUUAUCAGUCGUUCAUACCUAAUCACAUUCGCACUCAACUGGAAAAGGUCAGGAAAUUCCUUGUCCUGGAAUUUCUUUUUUAAAUCAAAGCUCAAACAGCCCUGAGCGACUUUGACAAAUUCUUUUUCAGGCAGAGGUACAAAACAUUUGCUUCUUGCUGUCUUGAACCUUUGGAGAAAACUUUCUGCCCAUUCGUCUGGCAUUUGACGUAGAUUCGCCAAAUCUGCCAAAGUGACUUCAGACUCAGUUUUAUGAAAUUGAGUGUAAAAUAACUGUUCCAAUUGUUGCCAUGUUUGAAUAGAGUUCGCUGGCAAGUUGAUGAACCAGGAGAAAGUUAUUCCUGUUAACGAACUAGGGAAAAGCCUCAUUUUAUGGUAAUCGGUUAUAUCACCACUUUGCAAUGUGAAUCGCCCUAUGUGUUCUAGAGUAGACACCUCUCCUAAACUGGUAAACAGUGAGAAUUCUGGCACUUUGUACCCUCUUGGCCAUGGAUAUGCUUGGUCUACCCAAUCAGGAUAUGGCUUUGUGUAAGUCGGCCUAAUGACGGGACACACCCUAAAAGCCAUCUGAUCCUGUACGAUUUCCAUAAUCUGAUUCCUCAACAUGACGUUGGGAUCAUAUGGAAUUCCUAUAGGCUGGUUAACCGGUUGAUUUGCAUGAGGCCUGAUAUUUGGUCCUUGAUUGGCAACAAAAUUACCAUGAUUAGGACCAUUACCAUUAGCCUGAACAUCUAUUCCCUCAUUAACACGUGGAGUAUUCUGUCCAUUGUUUAAGACAUUAUCUCUUAUGUUUGGAUUACCCCCCAAGUUAGGCAUACUACUACCAUUGUUCUGAUUUGGCACUGCAGUACCCCCUUGGUUUGAAGUAGAGGGACCAGAAAGUGGUUCUAUCCCUUGAUUCGGAUUUAGGACUGAGGGAUUAUGUCCCACAAUUGUCCUAAUUUGAAAGUGAUUUGCAAGAGGUAUAACCGGUUGACAUAUUUGGCCUACUAACUUAUUCAUUGUUUCGUUCAAAGUGUUUAGUUGUUUGGCCAUAUUGUCAUAGUGUGCAUUCCCAUUUUGGGUAAAUCUUUCCAUAUUAUGAAUACUUCGAAGAUUUACCUGUUCAACAAUGUCUUGUGUGAGUUCUCCAAGUAAUGCACGCAUGGUUCGAGAACUCAACUCCGUCAUUGGUUCGUAAUGACUGUUACUGCUCUGAUUCUGUCCAUCUGUUCGUGGAGAGGCAUGCUGCUCCUCAUAUCACUCGAUCACAGACUGGACUCCUCCCUGACUUGCUGUUUCCUUAUCGGAUCUCUGAGGCAUAUUGUUUCAUCUUUUGUACUUUCAACACCAAACACCACUGUUCCACUGGGCGUGCCAAAUUAUUUUGCGCGGGUUAGUCGCUAACAAUUAAAAGGGAUCAGACGAUUGUGUAAGGGACAAACCUCUUGAAACAAAGUCUCAAAAAGGGGUGUUCUUUUAUUGGCGAUGACUUUACAAUUGGAAAUCAAAAACAAAAUGCCUCCAAGGGGCGCAAACACACGAGUUACUGAAAAAAGUGUUUAAGUCUAAGCUAAGGAAAUUAAAAUUACAUGUUCUCUGUUCGAGAGUUUUUGAUUUGGUCAUUUACUCUAUGUCUUUUCUCCCUUUUAUACUCCAUGGAUGAUCUUUUUUGUAAUCAAUUGUCUAAAAACUGCUUGAUCGUUCUGCAACUGCCCACUUUCCUCGUAAUGGCCAGCUUGUCAUGAAAACUGCCUUUUUUAACUGCUGCCAUUACUCUUCGUAGUUCAACCGUUUUCGAUUGAAUUCCUUGAAUCGUGGAAUGUGAUAGGGCUGCUUUAAUAACUGCUUUGAUAACUGCACUUCUUAAUAACCACAACGCUUUAUGUUUGUUAAGACCUUGGGCGACUUGAAGGUUUGGGCGAGAAUAGAGUAACGGCUCUGGGCGACUGCAUGGCACUCCAUUCGCUCAGAUUCUGGGCUACUUGCAAACUUAGGCGAUGGCGUUACCGCGUUCUUGGGCCUCCCUAUCUGGGCCUUCAUAUUGAAUUGUUUGAUUGAGAUUCGUUCUUUGGGCUAUCUGAUUUGGGGAUUCUCCAAUUGGACUUCAUUCCUUGGACCGUUCAAUUUGGGCUGAAUUUUUAUGUGUCAACAACAUACAAAUUUUAUGCAUGCAAUUAAACACACUAAGAUUGAAAUUAUAACAAGUAUAAGGUUCUUAUGCACCGUGGUAUGUUCUCUUCAGCUUGACUCGUAGACCCCAAACUGUUUAGUGCUUAGGGUAUGAUGCUUGCCUUGUCAAUGGCCAGUUUCAAUACGAAAAUAGUCAUAAUCCUCUUUCGAUCACUCAUUUCAUUAUUUAUUUAUUUAUUUAUUUAUUUAUUAUUAUUAUUAUUAUUAUUAUUACAUAAAUAUAUUAAAAAUCUUAUCUAUAAUCAAACCAAAUCAAACAAGUUUAUAUUAUCAAAAAAAUUAUUUGUACAAUUGUGACUGACAAUAUUGAAAUUGUCAAAAUUUGGACCAUUGAUUUAAAAAAGGGUCUUAAAAUGAAUAAAAGUUCUUAGCAAGAAAAGUUUUGACAUGUUGGUUGACGUAUCUUACAUGCAAUGGGACCUAUGUGGGAUUCGUUUGAAUAAAAAAUGUCAAAAAUGUACACCCACCCCAUCCUAUUGUGAGCAUCUAUCAAGAAGGGUGUUCAUCAAGAUAGUUUAGCUUUUUUAAAAUAGAUGAAUGUGAUAUUAUCAAACGUGCGUUUAUCAACUAAAAUUGUAAAAAAAUAUUAUAUAGAUAGCAUGAUUAUUAUAUUAUAUAGUAGUGUGAUGCAGUGGCUAACAUAAUCAAUUCACAUUGAAAACUUAAGCAAAGAACACAAACAAAUUAAGAGGGUGUUUGGUAGGGAUUAAAAUUAGAUUUUUUUAGUAGAUUAUGAUAGAAAUUUUUGAAAUGUGAUUGAAAAGUUAUGGGCUUAUAAAAGAUGUGAUUAAUAUUAAUUGUUUUACUUUGACUUAAAUUAAAAUCAAAUUUAAUACGUACCAAACGAGUUUGAAAUUAAAAUAAGCAGUUGACUGACGUUCUACUUUCUGCAACACCGUAUUUGCACCGCUGUAACUAUUCUCAUUUUUCCAUGGACUUUGUUUGGCGUACAAGAAACCCUUUGAAACUCCUUUCAAUUGUUCCAUGAAGUAAACAAUUUACAUAAAUUAAACCCUUUGGCUGUAUUUUUAUAUAUAUAAUUUUUUGAGUAAUGAAAGUAGAAUAACUGUGAAUUUAUGAAUGGAAAUCAUGGAGCGAUUGGAUAUACAUUUUUUUAUAUAAUAAUUUUUUAAUAAAAUAUCAAUAAAUUUAUUAUACACGAAAUGGAUGUUAGAAGACAAAUUUUCCAAAAGAAAUUAAGAUCAUACUGGAAUUGAUAAGAUAAAAAUUAUAAUCAUAACAUAAUAUAUAGAAAUAAUUUGAAAUGACAUUAAAUUAAAAAUAGGUGUAAGAAGUAGUAGUUAAGCUCAUGUCAUCUUUUACAUUUACUUAACGACGAGCUCCUAUCAAUGAUAUUAAGAAAGUUAUAUUAGUCCCCACGGCACAUCUCCAAGUGGUGAAAGGGGAGGGUGGAGAAAUUUAACUUUACUUGAGGCUGUCGCGUCAAGGGUUCGAAUCCUGAAAUAUGGAUUUGGCUCUUGGGUAAGUGCAAGUGUACAAGCAGCCUUCCACGCUGUACCCUUGGAGGCAUAACCUGCGAUUUACCUCCCUCACGAUACUCCAGGGCAGGGGCGGUGGAGGACCCUCAAGGUUGGAGUUCAACAUUUUUUUUUAAAGAAAGUUAUAUUAUAAUUAUAAUUACCUGAUUAGAUCAGACUGCCCACUUUACAAUUUUAGCGAAAUUUGAGAAUAUAAAGCUCAAUCAAAUACGACUUUAGUGAAAAAACCAAUUUAUUUUCCUCAAAUUCCUUAAUAAGUAGAAUAUGAAAGGGAAAUAAUUUAUUUUCCUCAAAACCUAUAUAAUAAGGGCCUGUUUGGGCCCGAUUUUUUCCCAAAAAAAAUUGAUUUUUUGAUCGUUAUUUUACUAUUCCAGUCAUCAUAUUUGACUUCUUCUCUUACAGGUGGACCCCACUUUUCUCUUAACGGUCCAAAAAUCAAUUCUUAAAAUUACUCCCAAACAGGUUCUAAGUAGAUGAAAGGGAAAACGAAAAAAAAAAAAAAUUAAUAAUAAUAAAAAAAAUCCGUCCGUCACCGCCAACGCAUCAACUGGGACACCACGUUUUCCCACUCUACCAUCAGAAAGCGAGUGGACUUUUCAACUGUAAUCUCCACGCGUCAUCUGGUGAUUCCCAUCAUAGGAGGUGGCAUAUGGCUCUCAAAACAAGCCAACACAGAGUGCGAGCGGUUUCUUGACAAACCCGUAAUCGCUUUGGGAGUGUUUAUUCUGCUUGUUUCUUUGGCAGGUUUAGUGGGAUCAUGCUGCAGAAUUACAUGGCUUUUAUGGGUUUAUCUCCUUGUCAUGUUCUUGUUGAUUGUCUUGCUAUUUUGCUUCACAAUCUUUGCUUUUGUGGUUACAAAUAAAGGGGCCGGAGAGUCCUUAUCUGAUAAAGGCUACAAAGAAUACAGGCUUGGAGAUUACUCUAAUUGGCUGCAGAAACGGGUCAACAGUGACAAGAAUUGGAAUAAGAUUAGGAGUUGUUUGCAAGACAGUAAGAUUUGCCAGAGGCUGCUGGAUGAUGGCUCCUCCACCAGAGUUGAAGAUUUUUACAGGGAACGCCUCUCUGCUCUUCAGGUAAAUACAGCAUACAUAAGUUUUGCAUUAUUUGGUUCUUGGAAAUUCAUUGUAAACAAGAAAACUUAAGAUCCUUCUCUUAAUUAUAUGCAAUAAAUCUAAUUGCUUUUAAAAGUUGAUGGGGGAUCUGAUCUCUUUUUGAGCGAAUAAGGAAUAAAUAUCUCUUUGUUUGACAUAUUCUUAUACCAUAGAGGUUUGGGUCACGACACCACUCACAAACUUUAUUUAUUUAUUAUUUCCUUUGAUACUUCUUCCAACACGUUUCUCACAUGUUCUCCUCAAUUCAUUGUCUUUUAUGAAUUAUUCUUUUCCUUCAAACCUCUGAGUGAGUUAUAGCAAAGUGUUAGUGAUUUGAGCAACAAUAAUAACGAUGAAGAAUAUGAAAUCGACAAAGAAAUGUAAUCUUACCCCUGUUUGAGCCACAUUUUUACCUCAUUAAAAUAAAAAAUAUGAUUAUUAUCCAUCACAUUAAGCCAUUAUUUUUGAAUUUCUAUCUCUGAUAUGAGGUCCAUAACGGCUCUAUUUUUCAUUCUCAUUUUCAUUAUAAUGUGGCUCAAACAGACUCUUAAUGUCAAACAGAACUUCAGUGUACAUAUCUAUUAGUAUACUUCUGAUGGUUCAACUUUUAUAUAAGCUGUGACAAUUAUUUUCUUGUACGUCCAUUCCCUCUCUAAUAUAAUAUUCUAAUCAUGUUCGCUAGUUAGCUGAUCUUGGAUUUGCCAUCCAGUUUCUUUCGUUUUCGUAUUCGAAAACCCAACUUCUCUAUCAAACUUACUAAUACUGCUCUUGUAUCAUUUCUUCAGUCUGGUUGCUGUAAACCAUCAAACGACUGCAACUUCCAGUAUGUUAGCCCGACCAACUGGACUAGGACCUCUCAAUCGUCGUCAACGAAUUCCGACUGCGCUAAGUGGAGCAAUGACCCUAAUGCUUUGUGCUAUAGCUGCCAAUCAUGCAAGGCGGGGUUGCUGGAUAACAUCAAGAGAGACUGGAAGAGGGUGGCCGUCAUCAACAUCAUAUUCCUAGUCUUUCUCAUAAUCGUCUACUCCGUUGGAUGCUGCGCUAUUAGAAACAAUCGGGAGGACAACGGAUGGAAACGAUAUCCUUGAAUGUGUCCAUAAGAUUCUGGCUUGAGUAGAUAUUUAGUAGUAUCGGAACUGAUCUCCUGCGUACACUGUGCAGGAAAUAUCUCCUGUUAGUAGUACAUCUCUAAUUAUUUCUGGUGUUUGUAGCAUUGUCCUAAAGGUUUAUUAGGUUUAUGGUACACUGUUUUCAUUUUGUUUUUCAGACCUUAUAUAUCUUGAUUUUCUAUGUAUGGCCCCGUUUCGUACACAUUAAUGUAAAAAUGAAAAUAAAAAAUAUAGUCGUUAUGAAUUCAAAACAAGAAAUAGAAAGUCAAAUAUGAUGACUUGAUGCGAUUGAUAAUAAUCAUAUUUUUUAUUUUAAUGGACAAAUAAUGAAAAACAAACGGUAGCAUUUCCCCUACAAGUUUGUCAUUGUACGUACAGAAGUUCGUGCUAAUUUAGUGACGGUAAAUUUUAUUCAAUAUUCCUUAUCAAACAUACGAGUAAGUAGUUAAGCUUAAAAUUUGAAAUAGUUAAAUUUGAAAAUUUAUUAAAAUCACAUGGUCUAGUAGUUUGAAGAGAACUGAUAUAAAUUUCAUAUUAUUAUUUCAUACUUAAGGGAUUAAAAUAAUUUUAAAAUAAGAAAACAUUUUUUCACACUUUUCUUAUACCUAUGCCUCUUCUAAAAUCAUAGCUUGACUUCCACACAUCGUCACACAUCAACCUUUUAGAACACUAUUAUCAAUUAUGGUGUAAGAAUUACGGGAAUUGUUUGAAGGCGUGAUUUUCGGUGGAUUAAAAUUAGAUUGGUGAUUUUGCUGAUUUUAACAUUUCCUUUAUACUGGAAUAUUGUAGUAAAUAUAAUAAUAAAAAUGUUAAGAUGUAUUAGAUGAAUAUCUUUAUAAAAUGAGGUAUCCCACGUAAUUUCCUCUUGCUUCGAACCUUGACCUGCCCUUUCCCGUCGUCCAUCCCCAUAUUGCUAUUGCCGUCUCCUAACAAUUGGUGCCACCAAGAAAUCACCAUAUGAUGUGAGAGCAAUAUACAAAUAAUUGGAAAAUUUACACAAAUAAGCAAUAAGAGGACUGAAAAAUGAAAAAUACUGACUUUCUCCAAUUAAGGAGAAAUACUGACUAUCUGGCCUAACCGAGGCAAUAAAAUAUAGGUAGUCAAAGUGAUGCAUCACCUUAGUCGAGAUCUUCUAAAUAAUUGAUUGAUUUGACAUCUCUGUAGCAAAUACCUCACAGUUAACUUAUUAGUCUACUUUUCAGAUGUCAAUCUUAGGUCAUAGGGUGGCUGCCUUUUCGAAUAUUAAAUGCUCGUGACCUAGAAUUGAUGGAAUAACACCUAGGAGAAGAUGCAUGAGCUGCUAAGAUGAGGCCAAGUUUCUUUUAAACCAACGGUAAUCACUCCACCUCUUUUUACAAUAAAAGUUCACAUUUAGUGUAAUUUGAAGGGGAUACAAUUUUACACUCUCAAUAGUGUUAUUGCUUAACUCUUGUUCUUUCUAUACCUUGGUGCCCUGUACAUUUCUGUAGUUCAUGUCUUCCCGUCCAUUUUAUAUCUAAAUAUGUAUCUACAAGUUGACUGAUUUGAUCUUUAGAGUGCUCUCGACCGCCUUCCUCACCAUCGAAGAGUGCUUCAUUCUUUUAAUGAUUUGUCUAAAUGUGCAGGAGUUGAAUGAGUAGUAGUGAGUAAAAUUGGGAUUUGUUGACCACAUUAACAGUCAGAAAUCAAGUUCAACAUAUAUGAUCCAACAAAAUUGGCUCAAUCACAAAUUUAAAAUUCAAAAUAAAAAAUGCAAAAAAAGAAAUCUUCAAUUUAUAGCUUAAGGCCUAAAACUCUUUGGUAUUUCCCCAUUUGCCUGCAUUCUUCUCGCCAUGUUAACUAUAGUCCAAUCCUCCCUCCAAUACACCAUUUUGCUGAGGUGUGAUGCUUCUGUCAAUUGCCUUCGAAAUCCAUGUUCAUCACGAAAAUUUGCACAAUGAGUUUGGAGAGUUUGAAUGGUUUUCUCAACUUUAUUCUGUACUUGAACUUUGAAUUUUUUAAAAGCUAAAUAUUUCUUUUUGCCAUUUGAUAUGGGGUUUACUGGGCUACACAUAUUAAAAUGGAUUAAAUCCAACGACAUCUUGGCUUUCCAUGCAUUGCCUUUGAUAUGCUUGCUAUGUUGUUUACCAACAACAUACUCUUCACAUAUUUCGGAGGGAAAGAGUAAUCUGAGGAAGACCAACCACCAUGUUAUUCUAAGAAAUAGUCUUCAAUUCAUUGAAAUUUGAACAUCCAUAACAUUCAAAUGUCUAUGACGGUAAUGCCAAAACCACAUUGGGUCAUUUACAUUGGCCAUAAGACAAUUCUAGAGAGAUUUAAUUUGCAACGAAAAUAAUGUGUUCAAUGUCAUCUUAACAUGUACUAUGUUAGAAUCAGGUUAUGAUUCGUAUUUUAUUUGGAAUGCUAUUUGUGAAUCCUAUUCGAAAUAUAUUUGGUAAUUCUAGUUGAAAUUCAAUUUGGGAGUUUAAUUGGAAGUUUAAAAUUUUGAAGAGGUCAAGAUAUAGACAAGAGAGAAAUUUACAGCGCAUUCCCGCUUGUUACCUGCCUGAUUCCCGCAGAGCGCUCAAAUCAAGAAAGCUAGCAUUCUCUUAGUGCCAGCCCAUUGUCGAGCGGCUUGGUUUUCAAGCAUGGUUCAUUUGGCCCAAAGCCCUUUUUGCAUUUUAAAUGCAUUUUCAACAUUCUUUUUCGUCUAUAACUCUAUUUUUAAGGUUUGAACGUUCUUUAUAUAGUUAGCUCUUCAUUGUGAGUUAGACAAGUUAGAUAAUACUGUAAAAACUAUAUAUUUGUAUUCUUUCUCCAUAUUUUAGUGAAUUCUCAUUUCCUUUGCCAAUUAUCUUUUGUUCUUGCGCAUUUGUGAUAUUUACUUCAUAUUGUGCCAUAUAUAUUCAUCCUCACAUUACAACUAACUGGUAUUAGAGCGAGGUUCGAUCAAGUCAAGAACUCAAUUUGAUCUUUUGUGAUGACAACCAUGAAGUAUGAUAUUUCGCUUUGGAUUGCAGCACAAGAUUUUCGUUGUAGCAAGUAAAGAUAUAAGUAGUGCUCGCUAAGAUGAAUUUGGAUGAUGUUUUGAUCGAAUUUGACAAGAUGCUCACAAUUUGGACAUCCUAGAACAAAAAGUAGGGAUAAAAAAGGCCCUAUGACAUAUUUAUUUUCAUCCUUCGAAUAAUAUUUUUCAGAACGUUUUGAAGGAGAAGACCACGCUACAUUAUGGUUGAAAUUGGAGAAACUAUGUAUGACAAAGGGUCUAACUCACAAAUUACAUUUGAAGCAAGGUGUAUAUUCUCAUUAUAUGAUAGAAGAUACAUCACUUGAAGAUCACCUAGUUAUUUUUAAGAAAAUCAUCAUCGAUUUGGGAACCUUGGAGGUAAAUAUAAUAUCAAGGAUUUGUGUUUGAUUUUGUCGUAUUCUUGCCCGCUUCAUAUAUGUCCUUUAAAGACAUGAUCUUAUAUAAUCAUGAUACUCUCAUCGUUGAAGAGUUUUAUAAUGCUCUAUUUUCAAAGGAGAAGAAUGAACAUUUUAUUGGAUUAAUUUGAGGCUCAUAGAGACGGCCUUCUUGUUGAUGAUGUUAUGUGAGUGGCAAAUUGAAGUCUAACUUCAAUAAUAAAAUUUGUAAUUAUUAUAAGAAGAAGUAGAGAUGGCAAAAUAAUCCGUCCCGUCUCGCCUCGCUUCGCCCCGAACCUGCCUCGUAAAAAAAGGGUAACAAUGUUUACAAAAUAACUGGGUUUGAUAAAAAGAACACCUACAAGCUUCUCGAAACUUAAACAGCACGUAUGUUAAGAAAUGCCACUCCGGUGAACAAUAUAACUUUGUAAACGAAAAAAUAGCUCUGGAAUUCUUCAGUAUCAGGAUUAUAGCAGGCCAUUAGGAAUGGACUAUACCUAAAAACAUGAAAAUUUGUCCCUUACCAUAUUAUCGAAAACGGGAAAUUGCAAGUGUUUUUAUUCUCCAAGAACCAGAAUAGGAAAGCAUCAUCAGUGAAACUUCCAUUUCCAAAACAAAUCCAUGCUUUUGUGUGCAUCGGCAAUUGAUAAUAAAAUACUUAAAUUGGAGAAUAGUAAUCGAAUGCGUUUUUGUGAUUAUCCAUCAUAUAGUAAAUUAUCCCAGCAGUGAAUGUUCAGCCUCAUCUGUUAUACUUGAAUAUAAAAAAUGCAGUAUAAUUUGGUUUGUCUUCACUCUUACAUUUUUUAACAGUUGACUUCAAAUAUAACAGAGGAGAAGAAUCAGAAAUCUUAAUCAGCAUAUUAAAUAUUGCUAAUUUUCCUCAAUUUGGAUUAUUUACUUUGGAUUUUAAAAUUUUGAAUUUGUAUUUUUUUCUCUAAUAAUAGCAUAAUUUGAAAUUUUGAAAAUGUAAAUAUAAACAAUAAUAAUAAAAAAAUGAGGCAACAAACGCGACAAGCCACAGUCAUCUCUAAGAAGAAGAGGCAUGUGGUAAAAGAUUGCUAAAAGUUGGAGAAUAAAGAAAAUUAGGCUGCAGCUAAUUUAGAAGGAAAAUCAACCAGAUACUUUAGGUGAAGUGAGUAUUGCAGAAAAUUCUCAUGAUGAUAGAGAACUUUUGAUUAUUUUUUAUAGCGACUCCAAAUCUAACGAGGAUUGGAUUCUUGAUACAGUUUGCAGUAGGCAUAUGUGUUCCAAUCAAGAUUUGUUUUCUACACAUGAAAUAGUUUUAAUACACUUUGUAGGAUAGUUAUUGGAACGGUCAGAGUUUGAUGGGAUUCUCAGAACACUUGAUGCUGUGAGACAUGUUCUAAAUUUGAAGAAAUUUUUUAUCUCCUCGCAUAUUCUUGAUUUAAAAGCAUAUAAAUAUAUUGGUGAAGAUGGUGUCCUAAAAGUUAGUAAAGGUGGCCAUGUUAUCAUGAAGGGGGGCGAAAAUGUCUUAAUUAUAUGUCUUGCAUAGUUCUAUAGAAUCCUUAAUUUAGGCACCUAGAUGGAUUUUAAGGUUGGUUUAGUACCGUCAGAGUUUAGUUUGGAAUCUAUAUUAAAGAAUACAUUUCAGCUAAGUUCAAAAGUUAUGGAUAAAUUCACUUUGCCAUGAUUACCAGUGUUGCGAUCGUAUUUAAUUGCUAGAAAUAGACCCAUGAAAAUAGUAGGCCUCCACAUAGUUAUAGGGAUGUUGAUUUAGUUGUUUUUUCUUUGAAUGUGAUUGAACGUAUUGAUUCUAGCUAAGAACCUUCUAUUGAAGCAGUUAGGAACGUUGAUUCUGCUACAGUGCUUGUUUCUACCUUGUUUGAUGAUUAUUAAAUCAUUUUUUAUUUUUUCUCGUAUGUGAGGAUAAUUCGAGCAACUUUGGAGUCCAAGGUAAUCUUAUUGAGCAGUAUUUGGAAUUUAGUUGAUACUCAGUUAUUGAGUUUGCCCUAGUUCAGUUCUUUAUCAAGAUAUGAACCAGGCAAAAUUUUACGCUGCAUUCUCACUCGCUACCCGCCUAAUUUCUGCUUGACCUCUCAAAGCAGGGAACUUGGCGCUCAUUUAGCAUUACUCUACCACUCGGGCGUAAGUUUUGAUUUAAGCUAUUUUGCUUUUAAGUUUUGAUUUUAGUUUCAUAUCAUUAUAUAUUGCUAAUCCUUCCUCAUUGAUGUAAUUUAUGAUUGUCCAUAAGUUUACGUAGUAUAUCAAAUUGUAUCUUUAUUUUCAUUUUUUUUCCGCAUUUCUAAAACUUUUAUCAAAUAGUUUUGAAAGAACAAAUAUAAAUCUUUCUUUCCAAAACGAUUGUUUUCAAUCAUCCCUGAUCAUGCCUUUGGUGAGGAAGAUAUCUUUGUAUCGAAGAAAGUCAUGAACCUUUGGACAUAUUAAAUUCAUUAAAACUUCAGAGAAUCUGUCUUGUAAUGAAGUUGGGCUUCCAAUAAAAUGCUUGAUUACAUCAAACAAAAAUGUUAAUAAAUUGUCUUUUUUACCAUUUGGUUUAUGAUGUCUACAAGAUAAAGUGUUCCAGUCAACUCGACAGUAAUGAUCUACUGCAAAAUCAUCAACAAAACAUAAUAGAACAAAGAUUCCAUCUCAUAAAUUUAAGGCUAUAUAUGGUCCGAUUGUUCCAGUUCGAUUCAAUUUUCCCGAAUUUUUGAGUAUUUUGUAAGUAGAAUCAUCGGGUCCAAUUAAAUUAUAGUGUUCUAAUUGACGCCUCUUCUCUUGUUGUUGAAAUUGUCCCUGUGGCCUAUUUUGAUUCUGGUUGCUCCAAGAGAAGUUGGGAUGCUUCUUCCAACUGGGAUUGAAAGUUUCUCCAUAUUGAUUGUACGUUGGCAUUGUCCCCACUGUAUAUAGUCUGCUUACUCAAUUCCUUGCAUGAGUAUUGGACAUUCCGAUGUUUUAUGCUCAACUCCACAUUUUUCACAAUUGUUCUUCUUAGCUUGUGCUGCUUGUGAUAUGCUUUCCACCUUGUGAUACAGAGAGUCGAUUUUUGCAGAUAUUGCUGAAUAAGUAUCCACCUCAUAGAGACCCGGAGUUUUCCUUGGAAUCGCCCUCUCAGAAGACAACAUGGUUGAUGUGGUAGCCAUUCUCUCAAAUAAUUCCAAUGCCCCAUCAAUUGGUCAUGUGGAUAUUGAGCCAUAUGAAGCUAAAUCCACCAUGCUCUUGUGGUAUGGAAGUAACCCUGUGUAGAAGAAUCGAAUUUGGGUCUUUUUAUCAAACCCAUGUUGAGGGCACUUCCGGAGCAUGUUUUUGAAUCUGUUCCAAGUUUCGUCAAAUGAUUCGAUUUCUCCUUGACUGAAUACUGAUAUGUCAUAUCUCAGCUUCACUAUCUUGGAUGGGGAGAAAAAUUUUGUGCAGAAUUUGUGUGCCAACUCGUUCCAUGUAGUGAUACUUGCAACCGGAAGUGAAUCCAACCAUUCAAGCGCUCUGUCUCGUAGCGUAUGUGGAAACAGUCUUAGCCUAAUAGCAUCGUCCGAAAUCCCUUGGUAUGUAAAAUGUUAACACAUAUCCAAAAAUCGAGAUAUGUGUGUAUNNNNNNNNNNNNNNNNNNNNNNNNNNNNNNNNNNNNNNNNNNNNNNNNNNNNNNNNNNNNNNNNNNNNNNNNNNNNNNNNNNNNNNNNNNNNNNNNNNNNNNNNNNNNNNNNNNNNNNNNNNNNNNNNNNNNNNNNNNNNNNNNNNNNNNNNNNNNNNNNNNNNNNNNNNNNNNNNNNNNNNNNNNNNNNNNNNNNNNNNNNNNNNNNNNNNNNNNNNNNNNNNNNNNNNNNNNNNNNNNNNNNNNNNNNNNNNNNNNNNNNNNNNNNNNNNNNNNNNNNNNNNNNNNNNNNNNNNNNNNNNNNNNNNNNNNNNNNNNNNNNNNNNNNNNNNNNNNNNNNNNNNNNNNNNNNNNNNNNNNNNNNNNNNNNNNNNNNNNNNNNNNNNNNNNNNNNNNNNNNNNNNNNNNNNNNNNNNNNNNNNNNNNNNNNNNNNNNNNNNNNNNNNNNNNNNNNNNNNNNNNNNNNNNNNNNNNNNNNNNNNNNNNNNNNNNNNNNNNNNNNNNNNNNNNNNNNNNNNNNNNNNNNNNNNNNNNNNNNNNNNNNNNNNNNNNNNNNNNNNNNNNNNNNNNNNNNNNNNNNNNNNNNNNNNNNNNNNNNNNNNNNNNNNNNNNNNNNNNNNNNNNNNNNNNNNNNNNNNNNNNNNNNNNNNNNNNNNNNNNNNNNNNNNNNNNNNNNNNNNNNNNNNNNNNNNNNNNNNNNNNNNNNNNNNNNNNNNNNNNNNNNNNNNNNNNNNNNNNNNNNNNNNNNNNNNNNNNNNNNNNNNNNNNNNNNNNNNNNNNNNNNNNNNNNNNNNNNNNNNNNNNNNNNNNNNNNNNNNNNNNNNNNNNNNNNNNNNNNNNNNNNNNNNNNNNNNNNNNNNNNNNNNNNNNNNNNNNNNNNNNNNNNNNNNNNNNNNNNNNNNNNNNNNNNNNNNNNNNNNNNNNNNNNNNNNNNNNNNNNNNNNNNNNNNNNNNNNNNNNNNNNNNNNNNNNNNNNNNNNNNNNNNNNNNNNNNNNNNNNNNNNNNNNNNNNNNNNNNNNNNNNNNNNNNNNNNNNNNNNNNNNNNNNNNNNNNNNNNNNNNNNNNNNNNNNNNNNNNNNNNNNNNNNNNNNNNNNNNNNNNNNNNNNNNNNNNNNNNNNNNNNNNNNNNNNNNNNNNNNNNNNNNNNNNNNNNNNNNNNNNNNNNNNNNNNNNNNNNNNNNNNNNNNNNNNNNNNNNNNNNNNNNNNNNNNNNNNNNNNNNNNNNNNNNNNNNNNNNNNNNNNNNNNNNNNNNNNNNNNNNNNNNNNNNNNNNNNNNNNNNNNNNNNNNNNNNNNNNNNNNNNNNNNNNNNNNNNNNNNNNNNNNNNNNNNNNNNNNNNNNNNNNNNNNNNNNNNNNNNNNNNNNNNNNNNNNNCGCAUAGUACAUUUCUAUGCUGUCGCAUAGAGUAAAAAAAUUUGAGAAAAAAUUCUUGGGAGGCUUCUAUGCGACCGCAUAGUUAUGCGAUUCUUUCCGCCGGAUAGCUUUUAGUAUUUUGAUCAUAACUUUUUCUCCUGAUCUCCAAUUGAAGUGAUUCAAAGUUUAUUGGACAGAAAACUCAAAGAUCUACCUUUUGAUAAAAAUAGGCUUUCUCAAAUUCUGAUAUUUACUAUGCCAAAAAUGGAUCUCAAGUAGAAGCUAAAAAUCACAAGCAUAGCUUUUUUGCCUGAAAGUUGAUACUUGAUAAUAUUUCGAUCAUAUUUUACCUCUUUGACUCCUUUCCUCAUCCGAUUGACCUCUAACACUCUUGAAUCUUCAUUCCAUUUCCCGUCUCAUCUAUGGAUUAUUUGCAACAUCGUCCGAAAUCCCUUGGUAUGUAAAAUGUUAACACAUAUCCAAAAAUCGAGAUAUGUGUGUAUGUGGAUUCUCCUCGACUUUGCCAUAAAACUGGUGUCCAUUUUGAAAUAGCUGUAUCACAUUGGUCUUCAACUGGAAAUUUGGUUGCCCAAACAGUGGACACACUAUACUAGAUUGACUUUGAAUUACUUGAGGAGUCAAAAAAUCUCCCAGAAUCUCAUUUUCUUCGUCCAUUGCCUCUCCUUCAUUAGCUUGAAUAAUGUGAUUGUUUAGUUCAUUAGCCAUUUGUACUUGUACAUCUCGGUGAUCUCUUUGUAGUCGAUGAAAGGUGCACUCGAUUUCAGGAUCAGCUGUAAUCAAUUCUCCUCCAGUCGAUCGUGGCAUGCAAAUCUNNNNNNNNNNNNNNNNNNNNNNNNNNNNNNNNNNNNNNNNNNNNNNNNNNNNNNNNNNNNNNNNNNNNNNNNNNNNNNNNNNNNNNNNNNNNNNNNNNNNNNNNNNNNNNNNNNNNNNNNNNNNNNNNNNNNNNNNNNNNNNNNNNNNNNNNNNNNNNNNNNNNNNNNNNNNNNNNNNNNNNNNNNNNNNNNNNNNNNNNNNNNNNNNNNNNNNNNNNNNNNNNNNNNNNNNNNNNNNNNNNNNNNNNNNNNNNNNNNNNNNNNNNNNNNNNNNNNNNNNNNNNNNNNNNNNNNNNNNNNNNNNNNNNNNNNNNNNNNNNNNNNNNNNNNNNNNNNNNNNNNNNNNNNNNNNNNNNNNNNNNNNNNNNNNNNNNNNNNNNNNNNNNNNNNNNNNNNNNNNNNNNNNNNNNNNNNNNNNNNNNNNNNNNNNNNNNNNNNNNNNNNNNNNNNNNNNNNNNNNNNNNNNNNNNNNNNNNNNNNNNNNNNNNNNNNNNNNNNNNNNNNNNNNNNNNNNNNNNNNNNNNNNNNNNNNNNNNNNNNNNNNNNNNNNNNNNNNNNNNNNNNNNNNNNNNNNNNNNNNNNNNNNNNNNNNNNNNNNNNNNNNNNNNNNNNNNNNNNNNNNNNNNNNNNNNNNNNNNNNNNNNNNNNNNNNNNNNNNNNNNNNNNNNNNNNNNNNNNNNNNNNNNNNNNNNNNNNNNNNNNNNNNNNNNNNNNNNNNNNNNNNNNNNNNNNNNNNNNNNNNNNNNNNNNNNNNNNNNNNNNNNAAUAAAAGAAUACAUCAGAUUUUGGAUAAAAAGCAUAACCGGGUUACGAAAUCUUGAAGCUAUUCGUGUAAAUCUUUGUUCUUACGCUCAAAAUCCUCUCCAAGAAGUGUUUUUCUGCCUCUAAUGCGUUCUGCCUCUUUCUGGACGUCUUUUGGUAUGUAUAUAGCGUGAAAAUUAGGUUACCAAAAGAGUUUCGAUCGUGUAAGGAAACUGCAGAAUCGACCCCCAGAAUAUACCUAUGCGACCGCAUAGUACAUUUCUAUGCUGUCGCAUAGAGUAAAAAAAUUUGAGAAAAAAUUCUUGGGAGGCUUCUAUGCGACCGCAUAGUUAUGCGAUUCUUUCCGCCGGAUAGCUUUUAGUAUUUUGAUCAUAACUUUUUCUCCUGAUCUCCAAUUGAAGUGAUUCAAAGUUUAUUGGACAGAAAACUCAAAGAUCUACCUUUUGAUAAAAAUAGGCUUUCUCAAAUUCUGAUAUUUACUAUGCCAAAAAUGGAUCUCAAGUAGAAGCUAAAAAUCACAAGCAUAGCUUUUUUGCCUGAAAGUUGAUACUUGAUAAUAUUUCGAUCAUAUUUUACCUCUUUGACUCCUUUCCUCAUCCGAUUGACCUCUAACACUCUUGAAUCUUCAUUCCAUUUCCCGUCUCAUCUAUGGAUUAUUUGCAACUUUGUCCCCGAACUUUCAGUUUGAUUCAUUUUGGUCCUUUUUGCUUGUUUCUUUUAUUUCCAUCAUCUCAUAAUAUCACCAAAUUGGUACUUAGCCCAUUCAGUUCCUUGAUUUGUCCUUCGGACUAUCUUUUGGAUAAUUGCACUUUGGUCCCUGAGCUAUCACUUUGCUCCAUUUUAGUCCUUUUUCGACCAUUUUCUCCUGAAUUCCACUAUUUCCAUAGAAACACUUACAUUGCAUAAAUUCUACGAGAUUAAGUUACAAUUUAAACAUUUUGCUUGUAAUUAAGUCAUGUUUGUGAUCUAAAUAAGUGUGCAAUAACACACUUAUCAAUGUCUACAAGAUAAAGUGCUCCAGUCAACUCGACAGUAAUGAUCUACUGCAAAAUCAUCAACAGAACAUAAUAGAACAAAGAUUCCAUCUCAUAAAUUUAAGGCUAGAUACGGUCCGAUCGUUCCGGUUUGAUUCUCCCGAAUUUUUGAGUAUUUUGUAAGUAGAAUCAUCGGGUCCAAUUAAAUUAUAGAGCCAAAAGUGUUUGGUUUUGUUGGAUUCGGUUCGAUUCAAUUCAGUUUCAUUCAGUUCUAGGGUUCCUUACAAUAAUUAGAUUUUUAAUAUUUACAAUAACACUACAUUAAUUCAACUAAUGACAUGUUCAAUCUUAAUUCUUACAAAAUAAUGUAGUCUAAUCCUGUGAUAUCUUUUGGGCAGCUAUUUGUUGAGUUUUUCAUAUAUUUGACUGUUAAAAUCACAAAAGAAAGAAGAUAACAAGUUUACAAUAAUGAAGAGAUGCUCAGUCAAGCUUUCAAUUUGAUUUCUUUAGAAUGACGGAAAACAACACGAUAUAAUGAGAGGUUUGAAAAAAAGUUAGUUGAAUUUGAUUAAAUUGGACUUGGAUUGAGGAUUAAAAAUUGAAAAAUCAUAUUUUUUGUUGGGCUAAAUUAAUUAGUUGGCAAGUGAAAUAGGAAAAAUUAUAUUUUUGGGUUCAUUUAAUUAGUUGAUAAAUUUAUUUAGAAAAAAAAAUAGAAAUAAUUUGGCUUGUCUAAUAUUGAACCUACAACAUUUUUUGGGAGAUUAACUUCUUAUUUGAUUUUUCGAUUCUUGGUCUAAACUGAGAAUCAAACCAAACCCAUUGGUUUUCGUUUCAGAUACCCGUUUGUGUAUUUAAGUUAAGAAGAACAGUUCGAUUUGAUUUAGUUCGGUUCGGAUCCAAUUCGGUUUGAGAGUUUUAUCUUCCUAUACAAUUCAAAUAAAAAGUUAAGGAAUAAUUUUGAACCUACAACAUUUUUAAUCGACUUUGAACCUUAAUUUUAUUGUAGAUAUAUGAUAUUUCCCUAUAACCCAAUAAAUGAAUUGAUAGCAACCCAAUUAAUGAAUUAAUAGUAACCAAAUAACCCAAUUUGCGUUUCACAAUAUUCCCCUCUAAAUCAAUAUCAACCCAACAAAUAAAAAUAAUAAAUGAUACGUCUAAGGGAAAAUCUUAUAUUGAACAGAUAAAGUAUGGUUCAUUUCAAAACUAAGAAAUAAGAUUUAAAAUUCAAAAAUAAGAUAUUAAUUAAAUUUUAUUUAUGAAAUAAUUAACUAAAAACGUAUUUUAUUAUUUCAAUAUAUUAAGGUUACAAUUAUAUACUAUUUGGUCACAAAUGAUCAAAUUAAUUGAUCAUAAAUUAUUUCUCGAUCAAUUUUAUAGGUCACAAAUUAUUUCAAGAUCAUAAAUAAAAAAAUUUUCAAGUCACAAUUUAUUAAUUUGUCACAAAUAAAAAAUUUAUAAAUCACGGUUUACUUAUUAGUCACAAAUCAUAAAUUUUAUAAGUCACGACUCAAUUAUUUAGGUCGCACAUUAUUUAUUGGUCACAAGUUAUGUUUCACAUAUUACUUAUUAGUCACAAAAUAUCCAAUUUAUUGGCCACAAUUUCAAAUAAUUGAUCACAAAUUAACUAACUUAUUGGUUACAAUGACUAAAUAAUUGGUCACAAACCCUCUUUAUACAACCUAACCCAUCACCACUAGAUUCACCAUCUUAUGACCACUGUUACCACCAACACUCUACCACCACCGUCGUCCCCACCACCAUCUCACCAUCAUCGCGAUUAGUACCACCAUUGUUUUUUCUUGGAUGUGAGGAUAAUUCGAGCAACUUUGGUGUCCAAGGUAAUCUUAUUGAGCAAUACUUGGAAUUCAGUUGAUACUCAGUUAUUGAGUUUGCCCUAGUUGGGUUUUGUGGUAGAGGUAGAGAAUUUUUCAAUUGGAAGUAUUGAUGGAGAAUUUUGUUUGUAAUUAUUAUUAUUAUUAUUUAUGUUGAGGAGUUUUGUCUUAUUCCUAACAGUGGAAUUCAUCUCUAGGUGAAGAAUCUUUGAAGUUCAUUACAGUGAAAUUUGUGUCAAUAUAAAGUUUGUUAGAAUUAAAGUGUGGCCCGAAUUCUACUUGGAAUGUUAUUUGGGACUCCUAUUUGAAAUCUAUUUGGGAAUUCUAGUUGAAAUUCAAUUUGGGAGAGACUUGAAGAGGUCAAGAUAUGGACCAGGCAAAAAUUUACGGUGCAUUCUCACUCGCUACCUGCCUAAUUUCCGCUUGACCGCUCAAAGCAGAAACCUGGCGCUUGUUUAGCAUUACCCUGCCACUUGGGCGUAAGUUUUGAUUUGAGCUAUUUUGCUUUCAAGUUUUGAUUUGAGUUUCAUAUCAUUGCAUAUUGCUAAUCCUUCCUUAUUGAUGUAAUUUAUGAUUUGUCCAUAAGUUUACCUAGUAUAUCAAAUUGUACCUUUAUAUUGAUUUUUUUCUUCACAGUUCUAAAACUUUCGGCAAAUAGUUUUGAAAGAACAAAAAUAAAUAUUUCUUUCCAAAAUGAUUGUUUUCAAUCAUCCCUUAUCAUGCCUUUAGUGAGGAAGAUAUCUUUGUAUCGAAGAAAGUCAUGAACCUUUGGACAUAUUAAAUUCAUUAAAACUUCAGAGAAUCUGUCUAGUAAUGAAGUUGGGCUUCCAAUAAAAUGCUUGAUUACAUCAAACAAAAAUGUUAAUAAAUUUUAUUUUUGAAUAUUUGGUUUGAUGAUGUCUACAAGGUAAAGUAUUCUAGUCAACUCGACAGUAAUGAUCUACUGCAAAAUCAUCGAUAGAACAUAAUAGAACAAAGAUUCCAUCUCAUAAAUUUAAGGUUGGAUAUGGUCCGAUUGAUUUGGUUUGAUUCGAUUCUCCCGAGUUUUUGAUUACUUAGUAAGUAGAAUCAUCGGGUCCAAAUUUAAUUAUAGAGCCAAAAGGGUUUGGUUCCGUUGGAUUCAGUUCGAUUCAAUUCAGUUUCAUUCAGUUAUGGGGUUCCUUACAUUAAUUAAAUUUUUAAUAUUUACAAUAACACUACAUGAAUUCAACUAAUAACAUGUUCAAUCUUAAUUCUUACAAAAUAAUGUAGUCUAAUCCCGUGAUAUCUUUUGGGCAUCUAUCUGUUUAGUUCUUCAUAUAUUUGAUUGUUAAAAUCACAAGAAGAGGAAGGUAGCGAACUUACAAUAAUGAAGAGAUGCCCAGUCAAGCUUUCAAUUUGAUUUCUUUAGAAUGACAGAAAACAACACGAUAGAAUGAGAUAAUUGGAAAAAAUUUAGGUCAAUUUGAUUAAAUUAAACAUAAAUUGAAGAUUAAAAAUAGAAAAAUCAUAUUUUUUUGUUGGGCUAAAUUAAUUAGUUGGCAAGUGAAAUAGGAAUCAUUAUAUUUUUGGGCUCAUUUAAUUAGUUGACAAAUUUAUUUAGAAAAAAUUGAAAUAAUUUGGUCUGUCUAAUAUAAAAAAUUUAAAAAAUUAGGGAGAUUAACUUCUUAUUUGAUUUUUCAAUUCUUGGUCUACACCAAGAAUCAAACUAAACCCGUUGUAUUCGAUUCAGAUACUUGUUUGUGUAUUUAAAUUAGAAGAACAACUUGAUUCGAUUUAGUUCGAUUCCGAUUUGAUUCGGUUCGACAGUUUCAUCUUCCUACACAAAUUGGUUGAAGCUAUACAAUUCAAAUAAAAAGUUAAGGAAUAAUUUUGAAUCUAUAACAUUUUCAAUCGACUUUGAACCUUAAUUUUACUAUAGAUAUAUGAUAUUUCCCUAUAACCCAAUUUAUGAAUUAAUAGCAACCCAAUUAAUGAAUUAAUAGUAACCAACUAACCCAAUUUGCGUUUCACAAUGUUCCCCUUUAAAUCAAUAACAACUCAGCAAAUAAAAAUAAUAAAUGAUACGUCUAAGAGAAAAUCUUAUACCGAAGAGAUAAAGUAUGGUCCUUUGCAAAACUAAGAAAUAAGAUUUAAAAUUCAAAAAUCAUAUAUUAAUUAAAUUUUAUUUAUGAAAUAAUUAUUAAAUCAUAUUUUAUUUUAAAUAUAUUAAGGUCAUAAUUAUAUACUAUUUGGUCACAAAUGAUCAAAUUAAUUGAUCAUAAAUUAUUUCUUGAUCACGAAUAAUUUUUUUUUAUAGGUCACGAAUUAUUUCAAGAUCAUAAAUAAAAAAAUUUGCAAGUCACAAUUUAUUAAUUUGUCACAAAUAAAAAAUUUAUAAAUCACGGUUAAUUUAUUAGUCACAAAUCAUUAAUUUUAUAAGUCGCGACUCAAUUAUUUAUGUCUCACAUUAUUUAUUGGUCACAAGUUAUCUUUCACAUAUUACUUAUUAGUCACAAAAUAUCCAAUUUAUUGGCCAUAAUUUCAAAUAAUUGGACACAAAUUAACCAGCUUAUUGAUUACAAUGACUAAAUAAUUGGUCACAAACCCUCUUUAUACAACCCAACCCACCACCACUAGAUUCACCAUCUCAUGACCAUCAUCACCACCAGCACUCUACAACCAUUGUCGUCGCCACAACCAUCUCACCAUCAUCACGAUUAGUACCACCACGACCAGCUGCCCGUACCAAGAAUCACAAUCGCCAUCUCUAUCUCUACCACACCACGCCAUACCACAUCAUCCCACUACAAAAAAAUCCCCGAACUAGGCAUCACUGCCAUCAUUACCAUCACCACCAUUGCAUAUUUCAACAAUCACCACCACAACCACCUCAAUCUCACCAUCUCCUUCACCUCUACCACACCACAACCAUUGACACCAACUCAAAGAUACAGACUAAAAUGGAGAAAACAAAUCGACUCCUUGCAGAAGAUGAAUCAUAAAAUAGAUCCAUGAGAAAUUUGAAUGGUGGUUUUGUUCUUGUCGUGAUGAAUACAUUAGUACAUGAUCAAUCCAUUGGUAUAGAAUGAUAGCUUAGCACACAAUUGUCGCGACAGUAAUUCUAUCGCUACGAGACGCCAUUGCGUUGGGUCAUGUAUAGCAGUGUACCAGACCUAGCUGCAGCUGCGCAUUACCUAGGAAUGUCAACGAGUUGAGACGAAACUCAAAACUCAGGUUCAACUCGAGUAAAAAUGGUUAGAACAUUUUUGGCUCUAGCCGAGCCGAGCUUUUGCUUAACAAAAAAUUCUAGGCACGUCCCAAGCUUUCAGCUUGACCCUUAACGAGCCGAGCCGAGCUAGCUGACAUUUUUAAUUCAUGAUAAGUCUAGUAAGAGUUUAAAGUUUGUGUAAUUUAUACGAAUUAUAAAUUAAAUAAUAGUUUCAAAUUAGUACUUUCUAUAAUAGCUGGCUGCCGUGUUAUCUUCUUACUUUCAUUGUUUUUUUAUUCUAUUUUCGUUAUAAGCCAAAAAUGGCUCGUGACAUGGGUUGGCCCGUGUUGCUUAACGAGCUACAUGGGUUGGCUCGGGUUUGAGCCGAUACCUCAAAAUGGGGCUCGACCCAAGCCUCGGCUCAGUCCUUCCAAGCCACGAGCCAGGCUAGCUCGAAAUUUUCCAAAUCAAGCCAUAGGCCGCUCGAGCCCGCAAGGCAAAUUUACUUCCCUAGCAUCGCCUAAACUAGGAGUGACCGCUGGAGCCAGAGCCGCGUUUCUUCUACCUAUUGUCGCUAGAGUCAUCGGGGGGAGGAGGAGAGAGAGAUUUGGGUCAUGUGAUUCAUGAUUUUGGAUUUUUUAAGGUUUGGGUGGUUAUAAUUUAGAGAGAAAGAGAUAGGGGAAAGAGAAAUUGAAUAUUAUUAAGAUUAAAGAUUUGAAUUUAAAUCUGAUUUUUGUAUAAACAAACUCUAGAUAUAUUUUUUUGAAGUUGGAUCUUUAAAUAUCUGGUUGGAUGUAAUUUUCACUACCUCUAAAUUAUUUCUGAUGCUGACUUGGCUGCUUGGUAAUUAGUGGGCUUGAUGUUUGAUUGAAGGUGGCCAAAUAGUAAUCUGUUUGCGAAAUGGAGCAGAGUAAAAUGGUGACGGGAGAAGAAGAAGAAGAAGAAAGAGAACGUGGGGAAGAAUAGAAAAAGGGAAAUAGAAGAAAAAGGAAAAUAAAAUAAAAGAAAAGAAAAAGAAAAAAAUGUAAAUUUUUUUUUGAAAGAAUUAAUAUUUAAAAAAAUCCGAUUAUAAUUAUUAGCCUACAAAUAUGUCAAAUAUUUUUAUUUUCAAAAGAUAUGUUUUUCACGUUAAUUUUUUUCUAAAAAAAUACAAAAAAUUGUGGAUGCGAGUUCUCUCACUAUUGAAAAAUUUUAAGUAAAUUAUUGUCCUACAAAAUAUAUCUUUUUUUUUUUCGUGGGAAAAAGUAAGAUCCACAUACAAAUCUCAAAUUGUUUUUCAAAUUUUUUUAGGAAAAGUAUAAAUUUCUUGAAGUGUGAUUUGUACACACCCAAUUUUGCAUUAGCGACAAAAUUUUUUAUCUUGUACAACUAAUCCAGUUGAUAAAUAAAUUGGAAAUGGACAAAUUAUUUGCAAUUUUAAAAAAUAGUCAAUAUUUUCUAUUAAUAAAUUUAUUUUUCUUAUCGAGAAAUCAAUCAUAGAUUCUUUUAUUGUAUUCAUGUCUAGCAAAUGGUCUACACUCUAUACCAAUUCCAUAACGUUUGAUGCUUCUUGCUGGCAGUCACGGUGUGGGAGUUCGAUUCCUGAAACAUGGAAUUGGACUCCUUGUACGCACAAUGUACAUGCAGCUCUUAUUCUCUGGCCUGCUAGGGCACAUCCUGCGAUUUACCUCUCUCACAAAUCUCUAGGGACGGAACGGUAGGGGCCCUCAAGGUUGAUGUUCAACAUUUAUAUUUCUGCAUUGUGCAUUAUUGUUCGUACUUCUAAAAAUCUCUUAUUGGACAAAUUUUGGGACCAGUUGCAAGUAACUUCAAUGGAAAUUUACAAACAUGAAAAUAAGCAUUUGUAUUUAAUCUAAAAACCAAAAAUAAUUUAAAGAUAGAGAGAUAGCGUGCAUGUGUUUUAAUUUCACAUUGCCAUCUCAACAUCUUAUCCAUGCUCCUGUCCACAAUAUUUAUCAAUUAUGUAUUGUGAGACAGAUAUUAUUAGAAGGGUCGAUUAUAUCUGCUAAAAUAAUUUGUCUUAAUCCAAAGUUGAAACUUAUUGAUGCAAUUUACAUAUUUCCACGAAACCGGCAAACAUUUUUUCUCUCUCUUAAUUUUGAUUCUUUGCAUCCCAUAAUUUUUCUGUUUUUCAAUGGAUUGUACAAAAUCUUUUAAAUUAUUUUCAUACACGUUUCAAAACUGGAAAAGAUUUUAGAAAUUCAUAAGAAGAGGUGGUUAGUGUUGGACGCGUGACACGUGAUCUCAUUUUAAUGGCUCAAGAGUAUCUCAUAAGUGUACAUCUAGCGGUCCUAGAUCGCAGACGACCUUAAAUGAAUUGAAAAGUGGCCACCCUAUGUGCUAGAUCUGUCAUUUGAAAAGUAGACUGAAAGUUGACGAGAAAUGUCAGCUGCAGAACUGUCAAAACGUAUGGAAGAUCUCAUACGAAAGAUUUUUAGGCCGAAUCGAUAUUAUGGAAGAUGCCUAGUGAAAUGAAGGUUCACUGCUUCGAAAAUUUGCUGCAGCAACUUGAGGCAACUUGCUUUGGACUUAAAAGGUUCAGUCUCUAACAUGUCGCUUCGGCUUAGGUGCUUAUUCCACUUCGGCCUAUUAUCUUGAUUGCCUCAAUUAAGUCAGGUAGGCAAAAUGACAUGGAGUAUGGGCCUUAAGUGACUUGUUGCCAUUUUUUAGUUGGUUGUCACGUGGUCUGCCUCGUGGACAAGGCGUAACAAAAGUAACUUCUUUUAAAGAAGAUAGAACAAUCAUUUCUCAAUUUGAACAUAAAACAAAAAACAAAAAAAAAUGCUACAUGUACAGAUUUUUUUUUUCUUUUUUUGUAUAGAUGGAUUUACAAGUGUCGGGAUGGCAAAAUUUAAUCGAUUGUUUUUUUCCCCCAAAUUCCAAUGAAAUCUUAUUAAGUGGCAUUCUGUUAAUUAGUCUGUAAAAACAUCCUAUACAUCUAACAUUUCUCAAAUCUUUAACAUAAAUCGCUUAACGGUACAAAAUAAUUCAAACUUUAAUCAUAAACUAUUAUCAAAGUUCACGUGGAAAAGAUUAAUAAAUUUCAACUAUGUCAUAUGGUCUCGUUUUACUUCCUAUUAGUCCAAACCGUUUGAUCAUGUAGUCAAUAUUGUAUAUUUGUUCUCAAUACAAUGUUUAAAAUAAAACUUUCUGAACAUAAUGUUUAAAAUGUAUCCGUACUAAUACAAGUUUAAUGCUAUAAAAUAUUACAAAAUUUAAUCAUAAAAUUAACAAAGUUCACCUAAAAAAAAUUAACAAAGUUCAUUUAUGAAUAUUGAUUAAGUUAAUGAAUUAGAUUUCUUUAUUCAAAGUAGGAAUUUUUGUUUUGUUUUGUUUUUAAACCAUGAUUUAUGCUCUAUGUUCUUUGUUGUUACUGUUAGGCUUUAUCAACAAGGCAACUAUUCACUUCACUCUAAUGUUAUCUCAGAAAGAGUACCCCCCCCCCCCAAUUCUUCAAUCACAGUAAACUACAAGAUACAACAUUGUUACUUCUCCAACUACAUCUACCAGAUAUUGGACAUCAAUCACUACAUCACCUCCGUCAAGCUAAAUUUUAGAGGCAGUUCAUAAGCCCUCUCAAAACAUCUGUUAUUCAUCUCAUGCUCUUGCCAAAGUUUACACCUUAUAUAAUUAGAUCACAUGAAAUCUUGCUAAGAAAUAGCAAGAAACCAUUCAAGGUUGCAAUCCACGUCAUUUUGUAGUCUAAUUGAAAGCAAUCAAGGGAAGCUGCUAAAGUGACUAAGCACAUCAGGCGAAGCACCAUAUUAGAGGUUGAACCUUCAUGUCCAAAGUGAGGUGUCACGAGUUGCCGUAGCAAAAUUAUGAAGCAGUGAGCCUUAGUUUCCCGAGACAUAUUCCAUAACAUCACUCUGGCCCAAAGAUCUCCCCUAUGAGAUCUUUCGAAUGUUUGAUUGAUUUGACAACUUCAUAGAAGACACAUUUUAGUCAACCUUUCAGUCUACUUUUCAGUUGACAAACCUAGGACAUAGAAUGGUCACUUUACAAUUUACUUAAUUUCCCCUUCAACCUAAGAAGGUUGAAUAUGACACCUAUGAGGUUUGAUCUUGCAGCUAUUAAGAUGAUGCCAUAUGUCACACAUCCAACAGUGUCCCACUCUUCCCUUCAGUUAUAAAAGCUCAAAUUUAUUGCUUUCAAAGGCAAUAUAAUUUUAUACUUAAAUACUAACAUUGCUCAUGUUCGUCACCAAUCCCACACCCGAAUAUUAUCGCCCAAUGGUUGAUUGACUUGAGUAUUAGAGUGCCCGCAGCCUCCUCCUCUACCGCUAGAGAACGUCAAUACACCUAAUGUUUGUUCAAAUGUGCAUAAACUUAACACAUGGAUGGGAGUGGAAUCGAAAUUUGAUGGCCAUGUGCUCUUACUGAAUUGUGAGGUCAACAACUUUUAUGUUACUAAAUAAACCGUGUUUCUGAAACCAAACCAAACCUUAAUCCCCAAUCACUCUAACAUAUACACAGGGAGUUUGAGUCAGCACGAGCGACCGUUGAUCAUUUACUGUUGGCCACAAUAAAAUAUUAAGAAUUCUUUUGAUACCCAUUUUUAAUUUUGCAAAAAAAGCAUUUUGGAUUAGUGAUUUGAUGGAGAAUGUGUGACCAAAAAUAAAGAAAAGUUUUUUUUUGAAUUUACGUGUAAUAUUAUUUUAUUUAAUAACCUAUGGAUGAAAAGAAUAAAGAAAAAACGUAUUUUAAAAAAAAUGGGAAUCGAAUAAGGUAUAAAAUAUAAAUAUAACAAUUAUUUUGUUCAAAUUGAACAUAUAUAAUUAUGUUAUAAGAAUCAAUAGAAUUCAUCAAAUGACAUUAUUGCCAAGUUGUGUAUAAUACGAAGGAAGAGUACGAAUUCAAAUCUUUAAAAUUGUUUGCAUUAAAAUAGUUAAAACAUAACAGAUAUUAUUUUAUUAAAUCUAAUGACACAAUUUAAGGGGUAUCAUAAUGGUUGAGUUUGCAACAAUUCUUGCUUGAGAUCCCUGGUUCAAAUCCUCAUUAUUCCUUUCACUAUUGAAUUUUUCUAAAAACUAUAGAAACAAAAUAAAACAUAACGAAUCCAUUCAUAGAGGACUUGAACCCGAGACCUCAAGCAUGUUUCAAUUGGCUGUCACCAACUCAGCUACAACUGAUGUUUGAAAAUAAAAAUGUAUUACCAGAAAUAUAAGGUAAAAUUUUAACCUAUUGUUAACAAAAAAAAAUUCUCCUAGUGGAUCCAGCUAGGGCAUUUGCCCUAGCUGGCCACCACCUAGAUCCGCCACUGCAUACACAUACACAAUCAACCAACCACCAACCGCACUUUCCAU
rnacentral:lncRNA from 1 species